AAGCCGGAGCCUGAACCCCCCGUCGACCUGCCGGCCGAAGACGGCGACAGCUAGCUGCCGCAGCCCCCCGCUAGACUCGUUGCUUCCCCUUUACCUGCAAGUAUGGCGCUUAGCGCCGUUUGGACAAUGACCUUUUGAUUAGUCCAUGUAACCACUCGACACCUAGUCAAUCAAGCUUGUUAGUUUGCUUAAUUUCUGUCCUUUAUCCCCGAGGCCGCCUCGCGGGGUGGUUCCCUUAGCCUUUGCGUGUCUUGCCUUGUGUUGCGGAGGAACUCACGCACGCCUCACCCUUGACCAGACCAGGGACCCGGGACGGACCCGCAGUGCCGACCUGGGGCCAAGCGGUAGCGGGGAGCCACUCCGCUUGCGGGGUAACCACUCCAAGCCGUGUCCUCCUGGGGCGAACCCGGGAGCCACACGUGGAGCGCACUCCCCCCGCAAGCGUCCCUUUUUACACUCCGGCUGCGCGCGGGAUCCGGGGCCGCACCCAGCGGGGCAGUGCUCGGUUUCGUUCAGCUCUUAGCGAAUUCGGCGUUCAUGUUCAGAUACUUAGCUUUUUCGUGCGGUCCAAUGUUUCAAGAUGCUCUGCGGUAGAGUGCAGACGGGGCGCUACCUCGGUAGGAAACCAUCCGGGGUACCUGUUCAAGGGAAACGAUCUCGGAGGGAUGCGGCAGGAACGCGGGGGCAGGAUCGCCGCUGGCGGCAACCGCUGCCGCCGAUGCUACCACCACGCUCACGUGGCAACCCUCGCCCUCAGGGGCGGACCUUGGCCUUCAGGGACGAACCCUAGCUUAGGAGGACUCCGCCCCGGGAGCAGCCGCGAGACGGCUAUAACGUCCUCGGCGCCAGCUUCGCUACACCCCGAACGGCGGGUACGGGUGCCGAGGAAGUUAUAGCCUUCCAGCGACAGCCCCCGCAACUGGGGACACCUUGGUUUUAACUACGGGGCUCGUCCCAAGGGAUGCGACGACCCUUGUUACCCGGGAGCUAAACUUCUCGAGGGCCGCGGCAAGGACACGGUGAUGGGCCGGAACGAGCGACGAGCACCGGCACCGGCGCCAUGACAGCGUCCUCGCAACGACCCGCGCCCGAAAAAGGCUCUUUCAAAGGGAAUGCGGCCGGGUCUCUGUGAUAGUGCACCCGCCGGCACAAGGCACGGAUGGCACGCACUACCAUAGUCUCCGCGCCGACCCUGAUCCUUGCGGAGGUGUCCCACGGAGGGGGGCAACAAGGGCACUGUGGCAAUGCACCCCGUCGGCGCCGGACGCUGACGGGACACACCACCACAGUGCCUCUGCGGCGACCCUUGCCCCGGAACCGCUCCUUUGAGGAAGCGCAGCAGGGACACAACGGCAGUGCGCGGGAGCACAACGGCAGUGCACCUGUCGGCGUGGGACGCCGAUGGCACGCACUACCACCGUGCCUCUGCGGCGCCCCUCGGGGUGGGCUCGAUGGGGUGAUGCGGCAGGGGCGUGGAGCCGUCGCACCACCUGCUUUCAUGGCCCCGAACCCGGCAUCGCGAUGAGCUGCAAACCACUCACCUCCUUCUCAGGAGUCUAUUGAAGCUCGACCACUUGCUUCAGCAAAACAGUAGCCUCUGCAUCCUCUUCAGUUGUCAGCUCAUGGUUCCAAGACUUCAAUUUUCUCACUUGAUGUAACAUCCCAAAAUUUCAAACCUUUACAUGUGCAUUGCAUCCAUGAGCAUCAUGCCACAAUUGCAUGUUUGAAUUCAAAUUUUGAAUCACAAAAGGCUUUAAGAGAUUUUGUUUACAUCCCUGUAACCUUUGGAUUUUCAAACCAAUAGGGUUGAUGUAUAAGAAGGGUUUAAUGCAUAUAUAAGCUAUCCCAUAAUUUUUGGUUAACUAAUUGGAGUUGAAAAGGUAUUUUAUUCAAACAGAUAUAUAGCCCUAAAGUCAUUUAUAGGGAAAAUGUAUUUUUAUAUAUUUUAUUUUGAAGAGAAACUACUUCCAAAAGUUGUAUCAUGGUAGAACAUGAUUUUACAAAUUUUCUGGAAUUUAUUUGGACCAAUUUGGAGUUCAAACACAAAAGAUAUCAAAGAAAUGAGAAAAACAGAAAAAGAAAAGGCCUAAGAAAAAAAAACGGGUAGACCGGACCGGCCCGGCCAAAAUGGGCCGAACCGGCCCAGUCCGACCGCGCCCGACCGGCCCAGACCGCCCGGUCCGCGCGCGCGCGCCCGCAGUCGCUGACAGGUGGGGUCCACCUGUCAGCUGCGUCUUCCCCGAAGGAAAGCGCCGCCGGUCACGCGCGCGAAUUCCGGCCGCCGUCCCCGCGCGCCCGCCGCCGCAAUCUCCUCCUCCGGCCUUCCAUUUUCAUGCCCGAUCACUCCUUUAUAACCCCCGCGACCUCCUCUCUCUUUCCCCCUUGUUUCCCCAUCCAAUCGCGCCGCCGGGCUGCCCCGAUUUCUCGCCGGAGCCGUGCCCGCGCCGCCGCCCAUCUUCGUCCUCGGCGCCGACCCCGCCGUCCCCGACCGCGCCCCGUCUCCGCCGGGCCGCGCCGCGCCUCCCCGUGUCUUCCCUGUCGCGCCCACGUCGCCGGAGCGUCCCCGCGCCGCCGCGCCCGUGCCCGCGCCGCCGUCCGCCGACCGCGCCGCCCGCUCAUCCCGUCCUAGGCGCCGACCCGCGCCGCCCGAGCCCUCGCCGACCGCGACCCCGUCUCCGCCGUGCCGCGCCGUCAUCGCCCGCCAUUUCCCCGUCACGCCCCGACGCCGGAGCACCCCCGCGCCGCGCCGCCGCCGGUUUUCGUCGCCGGAACCCUAACCCGCCGGUGAGCUUCCCCCGAUCGAUCUCGUCCGUCCAUCCGUCUCCAACGGUGUAGAUUAGAUCGUCCUUAUUCAUUUAAACCGAACCGGUACCAACGAAUAGGAAUGUGUUGUGCUUCUUCUUCAGUAGCGCCGCGGGUGCACCAGGUGCACCGUCGCGGGUGCACCGUGCACCGGCGAGUCACAGGCAGUGCAUUCUGCUAGAGCACCGCCGGUGCAUUGGGGCCCUGCCGGUGGUGCACCGUGCACCAACGCGUCGCAGGCAGUGCAUUUCGAAGUCAACGCGAAUUGCGCCGCCGCCGCGCCGCUCCUCGCCACCGCCGGCGAUCUGGCGGCGGACCCCAUGCCGGUGCGCCGCUACCCCCUCGCGUGCCACCGGUGAUUCGCGAUCUGCCACCGUGGCUUACUAAUGGUGGUGCACGCGGCCUAUAGGAGUGUGGUUGCAGAUUAUAACUACUCUAUAUAUAUAGGCAAAAGAGCAAGUAUGACCUGUUGCAGAAUAGUUAUUCUGCGCGCGACCUAUAGGCAAAAGAGCAAGUAUGACCGACCACCACAGUGUACGACAAGUGUUGGACUGCGUAAAAGUUUUCAAAAAUCUUGAAAUUUGUCCCACAACACCAUCACAAUAGUAUAAGAUGAUCCAACGAUGCGAUCGGAAAAAUAUGACCGUAUGCGUCGGUGACGAAACAAACAAGGAAUUUCAAUUCAUUAGUGGACAUAUAUUGCUGUUAGCUCUUGUUUUUUUUUACCGCAGCCACAGACAAUCAUAUUUUUUCAAUCGCACCGGUGGAUCAUCAUAUACUAUUGUGAUGGUGCUGUGGUACAAAUUUUAAGAUUUUUGGAAACUAUUUCACCGUCCAACCCUUGUCAUGCACUGGGGAUGUUGGGCGUACUAAAACCACUCGAUCGAAGUGCAAUGAAGUGCAAUGAAAUGUAUUCGAUCUUUGUAUGUAUGGAUUCUAUCGAUCUUGUAUAUGCAGUACUGCAAUGGAAUGUAGUGGAUCUUUUGUAUGUAAAGCAAUGAAAAAGGUGUAAUUUGUUUAUGUGCGAUAUAAACAAACGGCAGCAGUCUUUUUUUUAAUCCUAAGAGCAACAUUAGUGACGCGUCUCACAUAAAAAGCAUCAGCCUAAAAGUCAGGUGCUAACGUUCGUCCCCGAGAAAGUUUUCCAUGUCUCUGACGCGCAUGAACGCGUCAUAAGUUCCUGAUAUGGGUCUGGGUAGCCUGAUCUUUCGAUGAGAUAGGUAACUCUCGAUUUAGGUAGGAGGUGACGUUGACGAUCCGACUACGGCCUAGGAGGCAGCGCCUUAGCAAUCGAUACACCAACUCCAGAGGGUUAUUGAUCACGCGGGGGCACAAUCAACCUGACUACGAAGGUUUUUGUUCCUGCAAGCAAUCGAAGAACAAGUAAGAACAAGAUAAAUAGCAAAUACAAUCUUAAACUGCAAAUAUGCUGUAUUAAAUCGAUGUCUCAACGAGACGAUAAGUUGGGGUUCCGAAAGCGGUAAGCAGGUGGUCUAACCGACACACGCGAUUACACGAAGUAGUAGUGAUGGCUAACUUUUAACUAAACAAAACCCAAGGCUCCAUAAGGGGGCUCAAGAGGUAUAUAAAGGAGGAGGAGGAUGGAUUUUCAGCCAACUUGGGGAUGGGGACGAAAUCCAACUCUAUCUCUAAGUUUCCUAACAAAAAAACAACUUUUUAGGAAACAGAAAAACAGAUCCGUUAUUUUGUUUUGUCUGCCACGGUCAGCACGCGUCGUAUAUUCUGAUGGGGCUGGAUCCGUUGGAAAGUUAUUAAAAUUACCUUUCCAACAAGUACUUGUUUGCUUGAUUUGGACUCCAUAUGCGGUUUGGAUGAUAAAAACAAAUUCGGGUCUCCUGACAGCUCGGACCCGAAUCGGAUUCAACUUUAAUUCGUGAUAUCUUUCUCUAGCAAGCUCCGAAUCAUGUGCCGUUUGAUUUGUUGGAAAGUAGACUUGAUAGGUUUCACCUUGCAUCUCCCGCUGCAUGCUAUCGCACCUCAUCUUCACUUUGUACUUGUAGAGUUCAAUAAGAUGCCUGCAUAACAAAAUCACACAAGAUAGCAGCUCUGCCUCUUUGCAAAUAAUAUAUUGGACACAAUUCAUAAUUGAAUUCACCUGAUUAUAAUUGUUAUUAAGUAAUCCGAUAAAUUGGGUUCUAAUGGUCGUAUCCAUGGUCAUCAUGUCCGUAUCAUCCUCCCUUUCUUGAAAGGAAAGCCGUCAUCGGCAUCGUUUGUGCUGGAAAGAGACCGACAAAAUAGACAAAGUGUGUCCAUGGUAUAUGUAUAUGUCAUCCAUCUUAAAACAUCUCCUUUCUUUCCCAAGUAAUAACUUAUAACAAAAUCUCAUGAAAUAAUUAGCCAAAGAAUCGUCAUGAAUAAUAUUCCAGUAGAUAGAUUGACAAUGUUGUUUGCAUAUAUAAGUGAAACAAUUUCUUGUAUUUGGUUUGCAUGGCUCACCAUUAUACCAUCCCAACAUCGGAGAAUAAUAUUUAAUAGUACCCGAAAUAGUUAUUACAAGAUGCUGAAAUUUAGAGCAAGUGAAGGCACUAACAUUCAAACAAUCAUGUAAACAACUAUUUGGCAAACAAUCAACACCAAUAUUGGAGGUCAUAUAAAAAUGGUUAAGCAUAUGCAGCACAUAUUUUCUGUCAAAUCAAGAAAGCUAUCACGAACAAAUUGUUUACAUCAUAUUCUCCAAUUAAUUGAAUAGUGUAGCCAUGAGCAUUAGCAAAAGAUUUGAAAUUGUUAACUCAGAAACUUCAUCUAUUGCAUGUGAUAAAUACAUAGAUCUAUCAAGUGUAAUAUAACACAGAGAAUUAAUAGGUGGAUCCUUAUCAAUCACUCCAUGUUUCAAUAACUCGACACAACCUAAAUCAAAGUUAUCUAUCUCAUAUGUUUCUCCCAAAGCAUUAAUCAUUUUCUCACGUGAUUCAUUCUCAUCAAUAUCAAAAUUAAUAUGUGCACUCAAAUCAUUAAAAUAAUUAAUUUCAGCAGUAGGUGAACUCAAAUCAGGACGUAACCAAUUUCACAUGGUGCAGAAAAUUCAACAUGUAUCUCAUUUGUUUCAUCACAUGUCAAUUCAGCAACACAAUCAUCUUUAUCAUUACCUUGUAGGCUCAACUUGUUUCUACUACACCUUCUCUGCAAAUUCCUCUCCGCUUCACGAGCAAGAUUAAGCAAACACAAUAGAGAGUCGUAUUUUCCAUAUUCAAUUAUGUAAGAAAUAUCAAAGUUAAGCCCACAAUAAAAUCUAUCCAUUUUUCUUUCUUUGGUUUCAUCUAGACCAGAUCGCAAUGUUAUAAUUUGGAACUCAUGAUAGUAAUCAUCAACAGUUUUAUCAUCCUGUAUCAAACGUCGUAAUUUGGAACGCAAGUCAUAAGCAUAACUAAAAGGAACAUAUUUUGCUCUCAUUAUUUUCUUCAUAUCAGCCGAGGUAUUUUAUUUUCUCUAACUAUCUCACUCCACCAAGAUAAAGCAUCUAAAGUAAAAUUACUACUAGCAAUUUUGACCGUGCAACUAUCAAGUACAUGGAAGCAUGUGAAUUGUUCGGUUAAAACUAUCUCCCAAUCUAUAUACGUUUCAGCAUCAUUUUUUUCCUCAAAGAAAGGUACACACAAUUUAAUUGUAUUAGAAAGAUUGUUUCGUACCGUUGCCUUGGCAUUGUCAACAAAAGACGUGGAGGAUGGUUGUGGUGAAAAGCACUCAUCGCGGUCACGAGAUAACAUCCAUCUUGUUUCCAUGGUUCGUGGAAGUCCUGUCAUAUGGUUACUCGAAAACACGAAGCAAAACACAGGAAUAUGUUCCUAUCAACUAAUAGGACGUGGCUACAAGUCGCUCAACUCUCGAGCUAAAAAUCAAGUUCUUACAAGUUCUUACCAUGCAAAACAAGAAGGUGAUGGCCAGCGGCGUAACCAAGCCCUCCAAAAAUUAAAUGUAUCGAUGCCUCGGUAACAAACCAACCUAGGUGUAGAAUCUGUGGAGCUUGGAGGCUUGUGUGAGUAGCAAGGAUAAGCAAAUAAUCAAAUCAGCAAUGCAAAGCUGAAAAAUGCUCAAUAAUGCUAGUUCUAACUGCUGGAGUCGAUAAGAACGAAUUACAGAAAUAAUCUAAGCCUAAAUACUGAAGAAGGUAGAAAUAGAUAGAUCAAAAGAUGGCACAACAAGUAAAUUCCUGGGAUUUUUUUUCUUUUUUUUCUUUUUGUGGCCUUCUGUUUGGCUUCUUAUUCUUUUAUUCUUCUUUUUUAUUUUUUUUAACCCCAGAAACUCACGCAAAAAAGGACCGAAAAACUGUACGUCAGUCUAUCGAAGAAUAGCAAAGGCUGCAGUAAAAAAAUUCAGAAAAUAUGAAAAGACAUGGGUUAGAAGCGUAUCGACACAAUCUUUCCAGCAAGGGCAAGAUCACUCAAAACGGAUGUCGGACGGUGGAGAAAACUGAAAAACACCGGGCUGCAGCGAUGCCAGAAAACGGAUGCAGAAACUUGGAAGCUCCGAAAGUCCACCUUAGGCUUCACCUUUCAUCUCCCGUUGCAUGCUAUCGCACCUCAUCUUCACUUUGGACUUGUAGAGUUCAAUAAGAUGUCUGCAUAACAAGAUCACACAAGAUAGCAGCUCUGCCUCUUUGCAAAUAAUAUACUGGACACAAUUCAUAAUUGAAUUCACCUGAUUAUAAUUGUUAUUAAGUACUGUGAUAAAUAGGGUUCUAAUGGUCGUAUCCAUGGUCAUCAUGUCCGUAUCAGUUCCGGAGUCAUCUCUGACACUUGAUUAGAGACGCGUCCGUUUUGCAUCAGCAUAGAGGGUUUUUGACGUGUCAGAGAUAACUAGUUUUGUAGCAGUGAUAUAUCAAAUAUAUCCCAAAAUUGCAGGCUCAAGCAAGAUUGACAUGGAAAAGGACUAGGAAGAGUGCUUGACCUGUCCAGGAGGAAAUUGCAAUCACCGUGCCGGAGAUGGAGGCUGGGGGCACCGUCACCUCGCUGGCAGAUAUGGAGCAGACAACGGCCUCGAGGAGUCCCUGGAUUACACAGUUGAUUCAAAAAAGCAGACUGCAAACAAUUCUCGAAUAAAAAACGAGCGCACCUAGGGAUCAAACCAAGAAGUUUUCUUUUUUUAGAGGCCGCCGGCAAAGAACGGACAGGUGGGCCCCUGUCUGGUGCGGGCGGGGCGCGCCGUUAACGCGGCGCGGGACGUGAGUUCCUUUUUUAUGCCAAAAGCAUGAUAUUUGGCCUCCGGCAAAGGCUUUGCCGUAGGCGGGAUAAAAGGCCUCUUGCAAAGAAGGCUUUACCAGUAUGCCUCCAUACCGACGCCCUUUGCCGGAGGUCCCGAUAGAAAGCCGCCGGCAAAGGCUUUGGCUUUGGGGCCGCUGACAAUGCAGCAUUCUCGAGCUGACCAUCUUAGGUGUCUCUAGCUAAUUUCAUAAUUUGAUGUGGGAAAUUAUAUACUCCCUCCGUCUAACAAAAGAUGUCUAGACUUUGACUAAAUUUGAGAUCUCAAAUUUAUCAAAAUUUGAAUGUUUUAGACAUAACUUAGUGUAUACAUUACUUCAAAUUUAGUCAAAGUCUAGACAUCCUUUGUUGGACGGAGAGAGUAUCAAAUCUGCUAAAAACAGACAAAAAAAUACCUAAGUCUUCGAAGCAAGCACUUGAUGUUGACGGCGGUCCAUAUAUUAACCAGACACACCGGGCAGUUGGUUGGACCGUCAGCUGUUUCUAGCUAGAGCAGCUGAUCCACUCUUUUCGGAUUUUUUUUCGUUCAGGACAGCCCACACCGGCUGCUAGGAUGACAGGGACGACAGUCAUUGACCAUUGGCUGCACUGUCAAGAUAGGAAAAGGUCAAUCAUUAUUUGUAUUAGUUUGACGGAUCGUUUUGUCCCCUAUGGCUGUGCGAAUCAUAUACUCCAGGACAUGGAAUCAAUCCUCUGCACAAUUUAUUUUCUUAGAAAGUAACGCAAUUCCUGCGUCCUUGUUCGUCAGGAGCUCUGGCUAAGGAUUGCCCAUUGGACAUUGGGUCAGGAUCGAUGGUUGGAGACCGGUGAAUUGGACCCUAGCACCACCGCACAACCGUCUGCCGAAGGCCAAAGCAGAUAAUGCCUUCGGCAAUUGCCGAAAGUCUUUUUCGGUCCCUUUGGCAAAGGGCCUCUGCCGGGUCUUUUUACGCCAAAGAGCUCUGCCGAGACACAAAGGCUUUGCCGAAGGCCAAAAACGGGCCUUCCGCAAAGAGAAGUAAUGGACCGUAAUAGCGGAGGACACUUGCAUUUUGCAGCCGGCUUUGCCGGAGGGCGGAGGCCAGGCCUCUGGCAAAGAAAUUAUAAAUUUAAAAUAAAAAUAAAAAUAAAAAUUGGAGACAAUGGCCAUGGGCUUUGCCGAGAGCAAACCUAUGGCAAAGAUCUGCAAUUGCUGCGACCCGCCACCCAAAGCCGCUGCGCGUGCUGCCCAGUUUGUCUGCGAGGAGGGGCCGAGGCCCGCCAAGAGCGCCGCCAGGCCCUCGCUCACCCUCACGCCGCCCCGUACGAGGCGUGUGAGGCCCCACUCGCCGCCCCGUACGCUGCUCCUCGCCCCGCCGGCUGCCUCGCGCACCUCCAUGGACGCCGCCCCACCGUGCUGCUGCAUGCUCUUGCCCACCAUAGCAGAGAGAGAGAGAGAGAGCAGAAUGAAGGAGAAGGCAUGUUGGACGAGGAGGAUGUUGGAGCGCAACGGCUCGCAUCAGGUGAGUUUUGCUCCACCUUAAUUAUAUGUUGUGCUCACCGACAAUCAAUUACUGAUGUGGUACUAAACCCAACUGAGGGAGGCCGCUGAACUGCUGCAGACGACGAUGAGGAGCACUAGCAUCUGCAUCGGCGUCGGGCGCCGGCAAGGAGCAGGGAGAAGGGAGAGGCUGCGUGAGAAGAGAAGAGAAGAGAAGAGAAGAGAAGAGAAGAGAUAGAGGGGAAAGGAAAACAAGAGUAAGAGAAGAGAAGGGGAUAAGAUCAGUGGACCAGAUCACACCAAGGAUCGCGCAGAUCGGUGAUGUGGCAAAUUUCUUUGCCGAAGGCCAGGUGAAGAUACUUCAGUCUUUGCCGAAGGCCUGGCCCAUGACAAAGGAUUUUUUUUGUGUGUGUGUGUGUACGUACACUUGGAUCGCAAAGGUUAAUUUGUCCCAUUUUAAUCUUUUAUAUUUACUUGUCAAUUGUUAACCCAAUUUUACAUACCAUAACAUUUUGGAGGAGGUGGACAAAUUAAUUAGCAAAACUUGUGGGUGCAUCCUCAAUAAUUAAUUGUGGUGGUGUGAAAUUCAUUCUAUAUAAAGAGCCAAUUAGCUUAUGCUGAUGCAAAGAAUGAAAGAAAAGGAAGAAGCAUUAAUGGGUGAGUGGGGCUGGGCAUGGGCAUGGUUCUUCACCGCCGCCCCGCUGGUGGCCUUGGCGGUCUGGCACUGCACCGACGCAUUCUAUUGGGACGCCUUCUUGCUCAAGCCUAGUCAUCGCGGCCGCCGUCUCCCGCCGGGCCACAUGGGCAUCCCCUUGCUGGGCGAGACCCCCAGGCUAAUGUGGUACUUCAAGGUGGCUCGCCGCCCGGACAGCUUCAUCGAGGCCAAGAGGAGGGCGUACGGGGGCCGGGAGGGCGCGAGCAUGUACAGGACUCAUCUCUUCGGCUAGCCGGCCGUCCUCGUGUGCUCUCCGGCGGCCAACAAGUUCGUCCUGCAGUCCUCCGACAGCAGCUUCUGCAGCCGUUGGCGACGCCAGAGAUGGUCGCACUACGGGGAAAAUAGACUUUGCCGGCGGCCUGGAACCUCCGGCAAAGACACCAAUGCCCCCGGCAAAGGCUUUUCGGCGGUUUUUCUUCGGGGCCGCCGGCAAAGGGCAUCGGUAUGGAGUCUAGCCGGCAAAGGCCUCUUUGCCAGAGGCUUUUUCUCGUCACAUUUGCCGAAGGCAAAAAAAAGAGCCUCCGGCAAAGAAAAGUAACAAACAAUCCGCACGGAGGUAGACGGAAGGCCACGUGGCAGGGGGCUUUGCCGAAAGCCAGCCUCCGGCAAAGAAAAUCGAAAAUAAUAAUAAAAAAACAUCACCGGGUCCCAAAUUCCCCGCUGCUCGCCCGUCGCUCACCGCCGCUCGCACGCCGCUGCCCGCGGCUGUAGCUGCUUGCCUUGCGCGUGGCCUUGUUCAUCGCCGUGCUGCUCGCCGCUGCCCACAGAGCAUGCUGCCCGUAGCCCGAAGCUCGCAGGAGAGAGAGAGAGAGAGAGAAGCUCGGCACUGCGCCGUGCGCCCCGCUCGCCGCUGCUGCAGCCGGCCGCCCCGCUCGCCGCGGCUGCCGCCCGGCAACGCGCGCGGCUCACCGCUGCCGCCUCGUGCGCCCCCUGCCGCUGCACGCCCUGCUCGCCGCGGCUGCAGCCCGCCGCCUGCCGCCGCCCGCACCGCCCGCCGCCGCUGCAGAAGAGAGAGAGAGAGACCGCGCGCGGACCAGAUUAGACCAAGAGACCGCCGCUGCAGCCCGUCUGGAGAAGAGAGAGAGAGACGAAGAGAUAAGGCAGAGAGAGGAAGGGAUAAGGAAGAGGAAAAAAAGCAAGAUGUGCGGACCAGAUUAGGCCAAGUCACCGAUCUGUGGGGUGUUCACCUGGAUCCAUGACGUGGCAACUUCUUUUGCUGACGGCCAGGCCUACGGCAAAGAUAGUUUUGCCUUUGCCGGCAAUUUUUUUUUUGUGCACAUGUUUGAUAAGUUUUGACCCAUUUUAAUUUUGUUUCUUGCUUUGAAAUUUUUAUCCCAACCUUAUGUACUCAUAAUAUGACUCCAUGACAAAAAUUUCUAGUUUUUUACAAAAUUUUAGUAUUAUUGAUUUUUUUUCUAUGAAACGGCUCUAAAAACUGAUAAAUAAUUAUUUUUACAUAAACGUUGGUGGUUUUAAUUCACAUUAUUCAUCAUUAACACUAAAUGAAAGCAUAGUAAAAAAAUCGACUCAAAACGUGAAAACCUUAUUGCAAAACUUGGUUCGGGAUUCAAAUCGGACGUUUGAGUGCUAAGUUCGAGAACUUAUACGAAGAUGUUGCAAUUUGUGAAGCAUGUGCUAUUUUAAUUUUGUGUAUGGAUCCAUAAUUUUUAUCCCAAGUUUAUAUACCCAUAAAACGACACCAUACCAAAAUUUGUUCUUUUUUGACAAAUUUUUAGUAUUAUUUUAUUUUUUCUAUUAAACAACUCUAGAAAAUGAUAACUAAUUAUUUUUACACAAAAUAUGGUGACUUUAAUUCAUAUUAGUGAUCAUUAAUGUCAAAUAAAAGUACAGUAAAAGUUUCAACACAAAAAGUGGUGGUUUACAUCAUAAUUUGAAAUAAGAGAGGAAAGGGAUACAAAAGAAAAAAAAAUGAAAACUCUUUGCCGGCGGCCGGCCUCCGGCAAAGAAUCCCGUCCGUUUUCUCUCCGUUAGGCGCCGGUUUAAGUCCACGUGGGACGCCUUCUUUGCCGACGGCCUUUCUUUGCCGACGGCCUUUUUGUUCUUUGGCGGAGGCUUUUCUUUGCCGGAGGCCUUUUUUAUUGUUUGCCGUAGGUCUUUUCUUUGCCGGAGGCCUCUUCUUUUUUGCCGUCGGCAAAGAAUGAUUUUCCCGUAGUGUCGGCCUCACGUCCCUCUCCAACGUGGAGGGCAAGCAGCACACCAGGCUCCGCGGCUGCAUCAUCGCGGCUGUCAACCAGCCAGGCCCGUUCUGGGCAUUCGCGCAGGUGGUGCAGCCGCGGGUAGAGGCGGUUAUGCGGUCGUGGGCGGACAAGGGCAUCAUCGUCGCCGCCACGGAGAUUAGGAAAGUACGUAAUUAAUACUACUCCCUCCCAUUCAUAUUACUUGACUCAAAUUUGCGUAAUCAUAUAUUCUCCUUCCGUUUCAUAAUUCUUGUCAAAAUAUUACAUGUAUCUAAACGGUUUUUGGGAAUAGAUACAUCCAUUUUGGGGCAAAUUUGAGACAUACCUAGCUAGCUACCACUACCUGAGUCAGAUCGAUCGAGCUUAAUUGUUUCCCCGGCCAGGUCAUGUUUGAGAACAUAUGCAAGACAUUCAUCAGCCUUGAUCCGUCGCCACUCACGGACAAGAUGGAGAAAUUUUUCAAAGGCUUAAUCGACGGGUUGAUGGCAUUUCCCCUCAACUUUCCUGGCACAGCAUGUCACCACGGUCUCAUGGUACGUAGCUAGGCUUUUUUACAUCUAAGUACGUACUCUUUCCGGCCACAUUAAUUGCUACUCCCUCCGAUCCUAAAUUGUUGUCAAAAUAUUACAUGUAUUUAGACGUUUUUUAAGAAUAGAUACAUUCAUAUUUGGACAAAUUUGAGUCAAGAAUUUAGGAUCGGAGGGAAUAUAUACGUACGUGUGUCCUCUCGCAUGCGGUGCAAUUAACCUGCUUGCAUGUCCGCAAUUAACCAGUGCCGCAGGAAGCUCAACGCCUUGUUCCGCGAGGAGCUCGAAAGGAGGAUGAAGAAGAAGAACAAGGAGGCAACGGCACCAAAGGAAGAAGAAGAUGGGGAUGAUCUGAUGAGCCGGCUGAUGGAGACGGAGGAUGAGCAGGGCAACAAGCUAAGCGACGACGAGGUGGUUGACAUCAUAGGUUCCCUGGUCAUUGGGGCCUACGACUCCACGGCCACCGCUACGUUGUGGGCCGCCUACCACCUGGCCAAGUCACCGGACAUCCUCGCCAGGCUGCGAGUAAUCCAUAUAUAUUUAAUUUAAUUAGCAACUCAUGGUCUCUGAAACUGAAACUGGCAUUUGCUAAUUCAUUUCAUUCAUGCCCCGGCCGGUGACAGGAUGAGACCGCAGCCCUGACAAGAGCCAAGAAUAAUGCUGCUGGAGCCUGCAGCUAUAUUACAUACGACGACAUCUCCAAGCUCAAGUACACUGCUAAGGUAGUGUACUGCGCAUGCAUCUCCAGCUUUUAUAAAGUAUAUACUCCCUCAGUUCCUAGCCUUUUGCACUAAAACUGCAAUAAAUAUUUAGAAACGGAGUGAGUAUAUAUUAGCGAGCGGAUAGGCCGGUAAACUCUUAUUUAGGUACAGGUGCAUUAAUUCGCUGUCGUCCGUUUUUGUGUUGAUAUCGUGGGCAGAUCUGGAAGCUUCAUGUUGGCGCGAAUCUCGAAGCGGAAUCUGACGGCACAAAAUGCUCCGAUACCAAAUAAACCUUGUUCCGAUCGAGCUGAUAGUCAAUGUUUCUAGCUUCCACUCUUAGUACACAAUUAAGAGUUUAUUUACACAGUACGUACGUACGUAGCAGGGAGGGCCGGAAUUGAAAUUAACAAAAUAUUUUUAGAUUCGUAAUAAACUGUGUAUUCUAAUCACAUGAUUUUCUAUCGGAACAAUUAAGCAGCUAUGUACGUGGUCAAAGACUUACGAGUGGAAUAUAUAUAAUUCAGGUAGCUGAAGAGGCCAUCCGAGUGGCCAACUUUGCUCCGAUGAUCCAUCGUGUGGCACUCAAGGACGUGGAGUACGAAGGUACAUGCACAUUCAGCCGAAUUAAUAUAUAUAUUCAUUCCAUCCAUCGAGCUAGCCACUCGUAACUUGAGGCCGGCAAUGCAAGCAGGUUACACGAUACCCAAAGGGUGGAGAGUUGUGGUGCGGCUCCGGUCUGUGCACACCGAUCCCAUGUACUUCAAAGAUCCGCUGACCUUCGACCCAGACAGAUGGGAUGUAAGUGACGCAUGUCGUUAUUAAUUCGGUGCAACAUUAUAACUCGAUCCGGAUGUGAUCAGAUUCACAAACAAUAUAAUUAUUGAGCAGGAACCGGCAAAGCCAGGCACAUACCGGGCGUUUGGAGGAGGCUACAGGACCUGCGCAGGCAGCAUGCUGGCAAGGCUGCAGAUCACCAUCAUGCUCUACCAUCUAUCCCUUGGCUACGAGUGAGUGUGUACAGUAAUUAAGCAAUUGGGAACACUCCAGUUAAUUUUGCCUUACUCAAUUCAUUUCCCUUGUUUCAGAUGGAAGCUGCUUAAUCCGGACGCAAGGAUCGUCUACUUUCCAAUCUGCCGUCCCGAAGACAACGCGGCCAUGGCCUUUGCUAGGCUUGGUACGGGUUCGCGCUGAGUUCAGUUCGGACCGCCGCGUCUUGUUCCUUGAGCAAGCUAGCUACAAUCGCCCCUCCAGAAACUACAAAAGCAACCGUCAAAAGAAGGGAUCAUGGUUCCCCGGUCUAUGCGUGCAUGGUCGUAUGUGUUAAUUGGCAUGUCACUUGCAUGUGUAUUUCCUCGAUCGGUUCCCAUUUAGACUUUGCAGGUUCAAGCAAAACAAUACCUAAACCUAUGAUGGCCUUCAAAGAAACUUAAACCUGUGACAACUAAAUCGGAACCGACGUUGUAAUAAUCUGUAUGUGCGAUAAUUAAGCCAAUUUACAUUUUUAUUGAGCCGGCCAGUAGAGGAGCGAAAACUAGCAGGUGCGCUAGCCGGGAGGGUGCACCCCAGCAACCCGCACUCGGGCAUGCAGGCGGGACCCGCAGAACAGUGAAGACAGGACAAGACGGAAGUCUCGGGGACUGAGACGGAAGGGCCGGGGGCUCCCGACGAGCCUAAGGAACCCCCGGCUACCUCCUCUGCCCCUGGAUCCGAGGGACAGCCCACACAGGCUGCCCCCCGCAAGCGGCUAGUGCAGCAUCCCGUGCAUUUCGUUAGCACGGUGCUGCGCGAUGCCCGGGUACGGUACCUGCAGGUCCAGAAGCUUCUGCAUGGGAUCCUGCUCGCUUUGAGGAAGAUGUGCCAUUACUUUCAGGUGCACAGCAUCACGGUGGUGUCGGGGUUCUACUUGCAGAGGGCCCUCACCAACCGUGAAGCCACCGGAAGGGUGGCCGAGUGGAGACUGGAGCUGGCGAAGUUCGGGCUGCGUUUCGCAAACACCAAGAGCAUCAAGAGCACCGCUCUCGCUGACUUCGUCGCGGAGUGGACAUCGACAAGCAUAGAGGAGGAAGAGUCGGAAGCGAGCCUUCCCAGCAGAUUGGACGAAGGGUACUGGGUCAUGUACUUUGACGGCGCCUUCUGCUUGCAGGGCGCAGGUGCCGGAGUGGUGAUCGAGUCACCCACUGGAGACUAGCUCAAGUUCAUGAUAGAGCUCAACUUUGCCAACUCCACCAACAACACGGCGGAAUACGACAUACUGCUUGCCGGCCUGUGCGCGGCGAUCGCCCUUGACAUCAAGCGCCUGGUUGUUCACGGGGACUCCCAACUCGUGAUCAACCAGGUAAAUAAGGACUACGACUGCCCCUAGAUGGCAGCGUACGUGGAGGAAGUGCGAAAAUGGGAGUUCAAGUUCAAAGGACUUCGAUUUGAGCACGUAAAGCGCAAGGACAACUUCGUUGCGAAUGAACUGUCCAAAUGGGCGGCGGAACGCAGCAAGGUGCCUCCUGGUGCAGAGGCAGUCAAAGCCCUCUGUUGACCCCAAGAAGGUUGCCGGGGAAGCCCCUCCGGCAACACAGGGUGACCCUGCAGCUGCAGGGAACUAUGCCACUAAGUUGGUGGCAUAUACUAGCCGGGAGCCACCACCCUGGGGCACGGAUAUUAUUCGCCACCUCAGGGACGGGACCCUCCCGGAAGAAGACAUUGCCGCGAAGCGAGUAGCCCGGCAAGCUAAGAUGUACGCCCUGGUGGACGGAGAACUCUACCAGAGGCGUCCUAACGGAGUCAUGCUCCUCUGCGUGCCCUAGGAGGAAGGGCGCGCGUUGCUGGAAGAUAUACAUCGAGGCACAUGCUCACACCAUGUGGCCUCCAGGGCACUAGCUAGGAAAGCGUUCCGGCACGCCUUCUACUGGCCGACAGCACUAGCCGAUGCCGAACAAUUAGUCAAGAACUGUGAAGCAUGCCUGUUUCACGCCAAGAAGAGCAACCAACCAGCACAAGCCCUGCAAUUCAUCCCAUCCUUGUGUCCUUUCACGGUCUGGGGGCUGGACAUCAUCAGCAAGCUGCCGAGAGCAGUUGGCGGCUACGAGUACCUACUCGUGGCCAUCAACAAGUUCUCGAAAUUGAUCGAGGUGGAGCCUGUCUGAGUCGUCACGACACAGGCGGCCAUCAAGUUCUUCAAGUGCAUUGUGUGCAGGUUCGGUGUGCCUAACGGCAUUAUCACCGACAACGGCACGCAAUUCACUAGUACGGUGUUCCAAGCUUACGCGAGGACAUGGGCACUAAGAUUCACUUUGCCUCUGUUGCUCAUCCGAGGAGCAAUGGACAAGUUGAGCGAGCCAACGCAGAGGUGCUGUGGGGGCUCAAGACAAGAACCUUUGACAAGCUCAAAGGCCACGCGAAACACUGGGUUGAAGAACUCCAGCCCGUGCUGUGGUCACUGUGGACCACACCGAGUCGGGCGACGGGUCAAACUCCGUUUGUCCUCGUCUAUAGGGCAGAAGUUGUGCUGCCCCUCGAGCUCAAGUAUGGGUCACCUCGGGUACGCGCGUACGGUGACAAGAGCCAACACACGCAGAGGAUUGAUGACCUUACCUUCAUCAAGGAGAUUCGAUGCAGGGCUGUUGUACGAGCUGCAAGCUACCAGCAGAUACUCCAUCGUUAUCACGACAGGAGAGUCUGUCCCUGGGGGCUCGAGGUUGGAGACCUUGUCCUGCGCCGGAUACAAGGAACGAAGGCUGGGAACAAGUUGACUCCAAUUUGGGAAGGUCCUUUCCGGGUAGAGCAGGUGACCAGACCGGGAGUUGUCUGGCAGGAAAUCGAAGAAGGCUUGUCGGUGCCCAAUAGUUGGAACAUUGAGCACCUACGCAAGUUCUACCCGUGAAACGGUGGCGCCUUACCCACAGGUGACGCUGCGGCAACGUGUCUCUUUAAGCUAGUGUACCCGGGCAAGGCCCGAUUGUAAUCCGCUAGCACAAAGUUGAAUAAAGAUAAGUGUUGCAUUGGUAAAUAUUGUGCUUUGCUGAUUGUGAAUGCUUCUGUCUCCUGCUCUAGGUGCACAGAAUUGUCUCCUCGUUCUUGGUUGUGAGCAGGGGGCUGGCGGAACCCCGAAAACCAAGCUCGUUGCAGCAAUGCCCCGGAACGAGGCCUAGCAGUUGCCGGACCCGUCCGCAACGUGCUACGUGCCAGCAAGGCACUACGGAAAUGUAAAGAUGCUCACAACCAGGUUUGAGGUCGACUCUUUUGUGCCCGGGGGCUAGGAGGCAAGAGGUUAUCCAGUUUAUACCGUUUUUCGUGCAUUUCGAAAAAUUUUGCUAUGUACCUUGGGCACUGCAGGAAUUUGACAUGCAGGAUAGAGAUAAGGCGAAGGCACACUGUGAUGCUCGUGGGGUGGUCACGGGCGUCGUCGCCUUGCGAGUAAGUUGUACAUAUAUGGCAAUUACUUCGAGACUUGAUGCAGGAAACUGAGACAGGGCCAGUGCCACCACUCGGCGACUGGUGGUCCCGGGCGUGUGAGGCAAAAGCAGCGCUUUGGCUAUUUAAGGAAACCAGAGCAAGGGCAACACCAGCAACGGGCAAGAAGGCAAGGGAUGUCACAGAGAGGCGAUGGUGGUGCAUCCCUCUGCGCUUGUCGCUGAGGGUGUUCUCACCAUCGCAGCCCUGCCACAUCUCUUACGAAACGACACCAGAAAUGGCGAUGAGACAAGCGAGAGGCGUCGUAAAGACGCGGUGGUGGUGCAUGCCUCCGUGGCCCCAAGGGUGCUGCUGGAGGGUGCACUGCCACCGCGUCCUUGCCACGGCUCUCAACAAGGUGCAGCGAGUCCAAAAAGAACGGGAAGCUAAGUAUCUCAUUUUGGGUCCUUGGUUUUUCCUUUAGUAACGCUGGCUUGCUGAGGUAAGCUCGGUCCCCGUGUUGCCGGAGCGUGGGAAGGAUGCUUGCAAGGUGAGGACGCCCCCCACACGUGGCUCGCGGGUCCGUCCCGGAGGCGUGCGUGCUGGGGUAGUUAACCCGCAGACGGAGUGACCAGCCGCUGCUGUUUGGUCCUAGGUCGGCACCGCGGGUCCGUCCCGGGUCCCUAGUUUGGCCAAGCAUGUAGUUGGCGAGCCCCCGGAUACUCAAGGCUAAAGCACGAGAAGGACAGAGCCCCUCCCCGGCAAGCUAGUCUUAGGCAAAGAAGCAAGUAAAAAUAGCAUCGGAUAUAUAUAUUGAAGCUUGAGCCAAACGAGUUAUCGAGUAACACUGAUAAUGACAAGGGAAAGCUAACAUAAAAAAGCUCUAAGGCGCCACGCGCCGCUUGCAGGAAAAUAAAAAGGAAGGAAGGAAACUACGCGGGAGGUGCUCCCGGGGCGGCCGCGUCGGUGUCAGGGGCAUCCUCGGCAUCGGGGGCUUCUCCGGCAAUCUCCUUAGCAGCGGCUUCGUCUUCGUCGACCUUGCCUUGCAUCCACGCCACCAUCUCGUCCACGACGCCUUGCACCGCCUCCUGGUGGGUCUUGGCCUCUUCCUCGUCCGACCAGGCGUCGAAGACCAACUCGAACGGGAAGUCGGGGUAGGCGGAGUGGACUCGGGUGAGAAUCUGCCCGGCGACCUGCUCGACCGCAAGGCCGACUUGCCAGUCCCCGAAGUGAAGCUCCCCAUCUCUGUCCCGUCGAAGGAAGCCACAGGGAUGUCGAACCCCUGCAACACCUCCACCGCCGAGUCGGCCAGCUCCUUCACCCUGGCCACCUCCCCUGUCCUGCGGGCCCGCAGCUCGGUGCACGCACCGCGAGCCUCCUGGGCCUGCAGCUUGUGCUCGCGGCACUCGGAUUUCAGUCUACCGAUCUCCGACGCCUUCUUGGUGUUGUCGUCAUCGACUAGCCAGAGUUCCUGCCGCACCAUGUCUAGCUCGCCCUGAAGGGACGAGCUGGCAUCUUGGGCGGCCUUGAGACGCUGGAUCUCCAGGAAGUAGCCGGACAGUAAGUCCAUCUUCUCCCGGAGACACCCUUGGAACGAGUCCAGGGCCACCUGGUGCUCCUCCUCGCUCUUGGCGUGCGUGGGCUUUACCAGCUCGAGCUCCCGCUGGUGCUCUUGCUGGAGAUCCCACAGCCGCUAGAGGACCUGCGCCUCUGGCACCCCUUGCACAGGCGUUGCCCCGGCUUGCCGUGCCUGCUGGAGCUCCUCCCGGAGCCGCUGCAGCUCGGUGCGCUGCUCCUCCGCUUCCUGUCGCGCCGCGCCCUGUUCCUCCACUACGCGGGCGUGGUGCUGCUGCGCGUCGUUGAAGAAAUCGACGAACAUCCGCUGCUGUUGCUAGAUGUUGUCGAUCACUUGGUGUCCCUGUUGGAACACGCUAGGGUCGAAGGUGAUCCGACCCCAAGUCCGCCCGGCGAGCUCCCCUGCUCCCGGGCUGAAGGCGGCUCCGGUGGAGGAGGAGGACCCCGCCGCGACCGUCUGCGACCCCGAGGGCGCAUCGGGAUUUGAUGGCGCGCCCCCGCCUGGCUAAGCCCCGCUGCUCCCUACUCGUCCGAAGGGGCGAGCUGGGGGCUCAGGGGCUUCUCCAGAGCACCACCGCCCGCCCCGGCUGGCGGGGGCUGCUCUGUGUCGCCCGCCUCAGACAGCGCCCCCUGCGUGGCAUCGCCUGUGGUAGCAAUCACGGCCCUGGCAGGCGCCGUGACCGAUUGCUGAAGAGCUCCGACGGAGGUAACCUCCGCCGGAGCUUCGUCGUCGACCUCGCCAGUGAGGUCGAUCACCCGCACCUCUGUAGGCGCGAGCGCAGCCGGAACCCCUCCGGCGGCUGCACGAACGGCACCUGCGUCAGGCGUGGGGAUUGGUGCGAAUAGGUAAAGGAAGUGUUCGAACUUGCACGUACCUGCCGCCGGGUCGGUGCCCUGCGAGCUCGAAUCGGGGAUCCUUGGGUCCCCAGCGGCCGCUGCCGCCGUCGCAGCCGCUGCGUUAGCAGCGUCUUAGUCGCCGUCGCCUGAUGCCGGGCGAGGCUUCUUGGUUGGGACUACCGGCGACAUGCUGGUCUGCCCCCUCUUCCUCGACGAACUGGAAAACGCAAAAAUAUAUUUGUCAGGCACAAAAUAAUCUCGCAAAAUCAAUGCCGUUCUGGACAACAUUGGACUUACCCCGCCGGAUUGAGCUUGAGCACCCUGUCCGCCAGGAUGAUCCUCGCCGGAGGGCCCCUCCGCGCGGGGGGAACUGUCGGCGUCACCGGGAGGUCGGGGCGGCUGCUGCAGCCGCACCACUGUCGUCGGAGGCCCCGGCCCCGCGUCGCCAUGAGGCUCCUAGAGCUGCGGGCCGGCCUCCCGCCUGCCCGCACGCUCUGCCGCAGACCGCCUCACCAGGGGGACGUCGUCUUCCUCGUUGUCCUCCUGUGGUACGACUUCGCCGGGAACGUUGUCGUCGCCGUCAUCAUCGAUGAGGUCUCCUCCGACGCCCAGCGAGGAGUCAUCGGAGUCCGAGCCCUCUGCCUUGGCGGAGGCCUGGCCUUGGCCCCUUUCUCCGAGUCGGUAGCCGGCUCCUUGCCCUUCUAGGGCCUGGGCUGCGGGGGGGAGGGUUGCGCCGAGGGGUCCUCCACGAUCCCCCACUCGUCGCAGAGAUCCCGGCAUGGAGCUGGUGCGCUCCAAGCGAGGGCAACCGGUAAUACCCUUCACCUAGAACUGCACCUUCUCCGGAAGGAGGUCCGUGCGCUGCAGCCGGGUCCGGUCGCCGGCCCCGGUGUACAUCCACGCUAGAUGUGAGCGCCGCUGCAGGGGGGCCAUGCGCCUCCCAAUGAAAUGGCGCACCACAUCCAUGUCCGUGAGCCCAGCCUAACGAAGCGCCUUGAUCUUCGCACAGAUUGGGGCCAGCUCCUCGUCUUUCUGGUCGCGGAGCGUCCAGUCGUCAGAGCCCUUCGGAGGACCGAGGGGCUCCUUGUGGAACUCCUGGAGCUCGUCGGUGCGCACCCAGCACUAGUCGCGGCGCCAUUCAUGCUCGAUCUUUUUCUUCCCCAGCUUGAUGAACUCCGAUUUGAUCCUGUCGUGGAAUCGGAACACUACCCCCGAGGAUAGGGGAGCCUUCUUCUCCACCCUCGGGUAGUAGUAGUGGCGGAAUAGCACCACCGACGGCAUCACCCCCACGAAUGUUUUUGCAGAGGUGUUGUGAAAUAGCCAAUGUGAAGAACGACGUGGGGUGAAGCUGCGCCAUGAUGAGCCCGUAGGUCUCCAUGAUGGCUGAAAGGAAGUAGGAGUGCGACGGCAUGAACCCGGAAAGGAUGAACCUCCCGAAGAUCCGGAAGUAGUGCCCGUCACGCUCCGCACCGACGGGAAGGACCCGCGUCGGCCCGUGCUCAUUGUGCUUCGUGGCCAGCGCCAAGUCCAGCUUGUCGACCCCCUCGCCGUUGUACCCGGGGGGGAAGAAGGCGAAUUUAGCCCGCAUUUCCUCCUCCUUCCGGGCCCUGUCCGACAGCUCCUUCUUGCCGGCCUUAUCCCCUUUGCUGGUUCUCCCCUUGGGACGGUUCUGGCCCUUGGAAGACAUCGGCGGAGGUGGAGAGGUGGUUCGGUUGGAGUUGGGAAGCGGGGAGCUUGGGAGGAGGUGAUGGCAGGAGCGAGAGACAAUGGAGAGUGCCCCGCUGCCGGCCUUGGGUAUUUAUCGGGGCUAGCGGACUACAACGGACACCCCCACGAUCAGCGAUAAAGAGCCCUAAUGAAUCGGAGAUUAAGAAGGGGGUGCGCGACGUGGCCUUAACUCUCUGGUGAUUAAGGGAGAUAAGGCACGAAAUCGUGCGCCCGACCGUUUCGCUCGCAGAAGUGGAACUGUAAAUGCGGCCCGCAAGGCCGGGUGCCAGGGGGUUUUCCCUUUGGGACCCACGGGUCGGAUAGGGCGUAGCCCGGCAACCGACCAAGGAUAGCACUUGCGGGGAGCUUCAAGGCAGCCGGCCCACGCCCAGGGGCUACUGUCGUACCAGUGGCCCGCGGAGUCCCACUGAUACGGGACGCGUGGAUCGCCAGUGACGAAGCCCCGUCAGGAAGGCUACCCGGGAAGCGGUGAAUCCGGGAAGCCUGCCUCGAGGAGACGGCCUUUGGCGAAGUUAAAACCGAGGGCCGAGUACAAGGUGCUCCCGGGAACCUCGGUCCCGGGAAGUCGGAAGAACGUCUCCCGGCAACUAGCAGGUGCGCUAGCCGGGAGGGUGCACCCCAGCAACCCGCACUCGGGCAUGCAGGCGGGACCCGCAGAACAGUGAAGACAGGACAAGACGGCGGGCGCAGUGCAUUUAAUACACCAACAGGAAUCUUAUCGGCAGGCCUAGUCGUGCUGAGCAAGGCUAGGGCGACUACCCUACGAAGCAUUUCUUUUCUACCGUGUACAGUGGACUGGGCGCUGCAUGGCGUCCAGCAUGGAUGAGUAAAAAUGUAUUCCAUGCGGCCGUGACACGCGUCUAGGAAACGUGUCACCCUACAUGCAUAGACACCUGUGGUAUCCCCUUGUCUAUAAAAAGAGGACCAAUCCCACUGGUCAAGAGGUUCAGCUCGGUUCAAACCCAAGUGAUUAGAACAUAGCAUAGUGUUCACCUAAGUAGCCAGCCCGAAAACUCACCGGGUGACCUGAACGCACUCAAACUUGUGAAUACAACUCAAAACAGGACGUAGGGUAUUACACCUCUGGGUGCCUGAACCUGGGUAAACUCUUGUGUCUACACUUCGUGUCUAUCGCCACGUCGGCGAUCGCCGGAGCGAUCACCUCGCCCUCCGCCAAACCAAAAAGGAGGUGCUCGGCAUCCCCGGUGCCGGAGACCGUGCUCCGACAUAUUCCUAUAUGAUUGAAAUUGAAUAAGAAAGUUUCACUGAGACACCAAUAUUUCAAUUAGCAAUCCUUGAGACACUAUUGUUUCAAUAGUCAAAUCUGUGACCAAUCGUUAAAUUUUUUUUCAAAACUCUGUAAAACACAUCAUUUUUAACUUUGUAGUUUUGACCUGAAAAUUUUUGUUCCAGCUCGCAUAUAUGUAAUAUGAGCUUAUACAAAAUUUCACGUUAAUCGGAAUUAGUUUACUACCUCUUUUAAUUUAAACCAAAUUUGAAUGCCGGUGAUUUCCGGAAUUUCAAACUUGGUCAGAUUUUUUUGAAACUUUUUCUGUACAUGUGAAACACUAUCUUAAACAAAUUCUCAAAUUUUCAUCAAAUUCUGAGUUCGUUUGGACCAUCAAAUAAUUUGUAAAACUAUCACAACGUGUUAAUGUAAUAGCAGUGACAAAGAAUAAUUUCAUCCCUUUCUUACCCCGACAAGGAAGCACCCACGUGCGUCCUACCUGAGUCCCGCGCUCGGCCAAACCGCCUGAGCUCAUUUUUUCCUUGGCAGAACCCGUAUCGAACUAGUCUGAGUCCUGACGAAACUUUAUUGGAUUUUUUGCGGUAGGUCCCGGCUAGGAGGUACUAUAUAUAUAUGGUGCAAGUUGAACAGAUUUUAUUGUUAAAUGUUGUUAGGCCACAUUUAAAAAAGAAGAGAUGUUUUAUGCCAGAAACUUGUGGUCGUCCGUAUCCAUAGAAAAAUGAAAUGAUUCGUCGUGUGUCUGGGAGUUUGAUUAGAUUCGGUGGUUUGAACCAGAAAGUGCUUUAGCCACUUCACUCAAAUAUAUUUUUGAAGAAUGUGCACUGUCUCUUAUGAAGUUGCUUUCAGAAUUUCGUUCAAAUGCUAUUUUAAAGCUAUUUCUUAUCUCAUGAUAACGGAAAUAAGUACAGGGUGAGGUGCCCAUGAUAUAACUCUGAAACAAAUAUAUAAGACCGACGUGCCAACAGGAUUAUACUCUAUCAGUUUGUAAGCUAUAUGGGGCGCUGGCACCAAAAAACUGCCCCAUCCGCGGCCCCCAAUUGUUUUUUCAUCCGGCGUGACCCAACUUCUCAUUCGGCGCCCCCAGGCCGAAACCAACUCACGAGGGGCGAGCGGGGGCGCCUGGUCGAGCUUAAAAACAGGCGGUCCAGCCCUGUCAGCGGCACAACCCAAAACACAAACCCCAUCUCACCCUCUUCGGCGCGCGGCUACCACAUCCACCCCAAUUCGCCGUUGGAACCACCCCUCUCACUAGCGAUGGUCUCCAGCAGAAAGAAAGGCCGCCCGCCGUAUAGAUCUUCCCGCACCGCCACAUCGCCCCGUUCCGCCGUCGUUCGAAGACCACGGCAGCUCCAAGCUCACCCUGCCCCCACCUUGCGCGCAAGGUGUUCGACGGUUUGCCAAAGCCAUGGAUUCGGACAACGAGGAGAUGCUCGCCACUCUGUUUGACGAGGAAGUCGCGCUGCCAAUGAUGCAGCCUCCGACGGCGAGGAGGGAGCGUGAUUUUUCAGUGUUUCACACUGAACCAUAUGAACGGAUGGGUUCUCUAGUCAAUGUUGAUCAUUAGGUGUCGGCCACCUUUGCUGCUUUCCUCACCAGGCGUCAGGAAAAUCAAGACACACAGAUACUCAUCAACAAUUUCAAGAUUAUCUAUCUGGUGGAGCAUUUGUGGAGGCUCCAAGGAAACAUCUAGUUCUUCUUAUUUGUUUACUUGAAUUUGUUUGAAUUUGUGAUGCAAAAUGUAUUAAAUAAUUUGCUUGAUUCAAUUUUCUUAUUUGCAAGAUUUGUGUAUAGGGGAGCCCUUUUGGGGGUUGGGGGGGGGGGGGGGGGGGGGAUUGCGCGGUGCACAUAUUUAUAGUGAAGUUUUCCAUAUAGAAUCAAUAUGUUAAUAUAACUUUUUCAUUCAUAACAAAAUAAACUGGAUCCAUUUUUAUAAUGAAUGGAAAAAAAGAAAUACUAUCAUGUUGAAGUAAAUACAGAUUUCUCUUUUGAGGGAAAGUAAAUACAAAAUUCAAAACAACUUGAGGUGAAGAUAAUUAUCAGAGUAGUAGGGCCUCACUUGCGUCAGAGAGAGCAUUCAAAUUGUGGGAUAGGUUAUUUGAUUAGAACGUUGCUGUCAUUUGGGUGCAUGGGAACUAAGAGCAUUUUAUCAGGGCAACAAUUAAUGCAAUUUUUUCGUAACAUUUCAAAAGUGAGCUAACUAACAGCUAAACAAAUUUGAAUAAUGUGAAUAGUUUGCAUCUAAAGAUAGACUAUCAUUAAUAAACGUUCAUAAAAAUUUACUAGAAGUAUAACUAGUUGUUCCAUAAGAAAUGGAAAAUGAGCUUACUAAUUACUUUUCUUUUUCAAAAACGAGCUUGCUAAUUACUUUUCUUUUUCGAAUAUUAAAAAACAGCUUCUUUUCUUUUCUUUUUGAGAAUAAAAAAACAGCUUCUUUUCUACUCAACAAGAAUAAUCCAGGCCACAAAACGAGAAAAAUUUGCAAGCCCAAAACGACCAAAAAAAGGCCGAAAUAGAUAGUAACAGAUUUCAACACAAGCCUGAUAAGACUUGCAGACCUGAGAACAGGCCCCCAAAUAUCGUCUGUAGGUAGGACUGACACAUCUGGUGCCUCUUCUGGUCCGCCCCCAAAUUGCAUUCUUAUGAUUACUGUACGUUCUUGUUAGUUAAACUAGGCGAUUCCCCGGGCGUUGCCGCGGAAAAUUCUAUAUGUACGUCUGAAUAUGAUUUUAGAAACAAAUGCUAAUAAUAUGAUUUAACGUAAAAUAAAUACUCCCUCUGGCCAAAAAGGAUGUCUCAGUUUUGACUAAAUUUGAAUGUAUCUAUACACUAAGUCAUGUCUAAAUACAUCCAAAUUUUAACAAAAUUGAGACAUCUUUUAUUGGAUGGAGGGAGUAUGAAUAUUGUAAGAAAAAACGAUUUUAUCAUUCAUAACACCUAUGCAACAAAAUAAUCGGUGUAAUUUUAUGUGCAUGAACAUUAACAACUUCAAAGAAACCAAAAAGUGAAGUUUUGUCAACCUGAAUAUUUGCAGAUCUUAGUAAAAUUGACAUACAUAUCAUGAAAAUAUGUGUGUUUAGUGAAAUAUUCAUAUGCAAUGUGAAGACGAAAAAUCUUAGGUAUGAAAUAUUAAAUUUGAAAGGAUCACCAAAAUGAAUUCUUAGUAUACAACAACACAUGAUGUGGAUGGUGAUGUGGAGCCUUUGGAUUCCUAGUGUACAACAUCACAUGAUGUGGAUGGUGAUGUGGAGCCUUUAAAUGCGCAUGGUGUGCAUGAUGUCGAUAAUGAUGUGGACACCUUACGUGUCAAACUUGCAAACAUUAAUUGCAUUUAGUGGGGAUCAACUUUCUAGAUUAUAUAGGUUUCUACUGGCCAAACAAAAGCACUUAUUCUGUCAUGCAUACUAAAUGAGGUAAUAACACCGGGGUACAAGUACUUGUAUCGCGUGAGCAGUUUAAUACAACAACUUGCAAUAUGGGGUCAGGUAGUACAAGAACUUGACUUGCGACUUUUGGUCGGAUUAGUCCGAAAUUAGCCAUGUCAGCGACACAUGGAGUUCAGACCGAUUUGUACAUCUGCGUAUAAGCCCUUCGCUAUGUCUCCUUUUAUGUCCAUAGUUUCUCGGGCAAGUUGUAUUUCUGCAAAAAAAAAACACCCUAUAAGAUUAUUUUUUCUCAUUUCUCCCCCGUGCACGAACCGAACCGUUCCAUCUUCCACCACCGACCUCAAGGCAGUCGCGGGCAAACACUACGGAAUCGGCGGCGGCGUGGCGACGACGAUGGCUCCGGAGCCGCAAAGUGUUUUUUUUUGCAAAAGCGAAUAAGCGCGGGGGGCUGUCCGUAAAAUGAACAAGUCUCCUGCCCGUGCCAUAUCCAGCGUGACAAUCCACGUGUCACCCUCCCAUUGGCUCUGACCAAAAGUGCACCCGCAAGUCAAGUUCUUGUACCACAUUACCCCAUUUUGCAAGUUAUUGUACUAAACUGUUCGCGCGAUACAACUUCUUGUACCCCUAGUAUUAUUACCUCAAACUAGAGAAAACCUACAUUAAUGAUAUGACUCUUGUUGUCGUUUAGGUACAGGAAUAAUUCGCUAAACUCUUUAAUUCAGACCAAGACGUCAAGCCCCAAAUGAUGGGCUCGACCAAUUUAGCUUGUCAGAGUGGACUGAAAAAAAUGUGCCAAAUUGUUGGACUUGGCCUAGAUAGACGACAUGGAUGGAUUGGGCUGAUUUCGUUGUGUGACCAUUUAAUUUCGUCACAAAGUUUACCACGUCACAUCAACGGACAAUUAGUGACCAACUAAACUAUUUGCCCAAUUGGUCAUAACUGUUUAUGACCAUUUUACCAAAAAGGUCAUAAGUGCCAUUAGUGACGGUCGGUUUCUCACGAUCUAUUUUUCAUCAUAGGAACGUCAUAAAUCCGUUUUUCUUGUAGUGAUUACAAGCAUAUGAGUAGAAGCAAUGUAGAAGGACACAUUACUAAACUAGCACAAACUAAAAGGCUAGCCCAUUUCCUUCCAGUUUCUCUUUGAUCACCCGGUCUACCUUUUCUGCCAUCUCCUCAAUCAUGUGGUUCACCCAGUCCCCUACUUUACCUUUCCUGAAAAACACAGAAUUCGCCACAUAAAUCUUAUUAUCAUGGUCGACACCACCCAUCUGGUUAACUUUCAGGCCAGUAAGACUUUCGAAGCUACAAAGCUUCACCACCUCAUCGGUGACACCAGAGCAUUCAUCCUCUUCAGUGAGCGGGACACCCAGGAACUUCGCGAGGUGACGAACAACCUCCUCCGGAUGCGACAUGAUAUCUUCAUACUUCAAGAAAAGAACCUCGUUGGGCGUCGCUAAACUCUUCUUCUAGUACUCGAGGCAGACAGAUUUUGGUGGAAGAGUUAACUCCCUCUGAGGUUUUCUCGGUUAAAUCUAUGUACAGAGAUUUAAUGGAUAGCCCUAUGAGUUUCUCGCGGUAUUAUCUUUGGAAAUUAAAAAUUCCCCUAAAAGUUAAGAUUUUUAUGUGGUUUUUUGACCGAAAAGUGUUGCUUACGAAGGAUAAUCUAGCCAAAAGGAACUCGACAGGAUGUAUGAAAUAUUGUUUUUGUGACGUCGAGGAGUCCAUUCAUCGUUUAUUCAUCACUUGUCCCUAUGCCCAACUCGUGUGGAAAAUUAUUUACUGCCUCCCCCUACCAAUAUUUCUAAUUUGUUUGGGAAUUGGUUAAAUGGGAUUGACAAAAAGACUAAGGCUCACAUUCGGGUGGGAGUGUCUGCUGUCUGUUGGGCUAUUUGGAAUUGUCGAAAUGAUAUUAUUUUUAACAGGGCUAGAGUUGUUCACUAUUUGCAGGUUAUUUUCAGGGCCACCGCUCUAAUCCGCCUUUGGUCCAUCCUCCUCCUUGUGGACAAGCGGGAGCUUUCAGCUUCUGGGUGCACUCGGCUAGAGACGGUCGCUCGGGAUAUCUCCAACCUGGCUGGCUGGCGGCCUGUUGCUAGAUUGCAAGAUGUCUAGAAAUUAUGUUCAGGAUCUUUGUUUUAUUUGGCUUAUUUUUGUCUUCACUUUGUGUGAUUCGUGAAUUUUGUACUGAGAUGUUUUAACUUUGCAAUAAAUUGGUUGUGUGCAUCGCUUCGAUGCAGAGGCCGGGAGCCCCCCCCCCCCCCCCCUUUUGAAAGAAAAAACUCGAGGCGUGAUCCCAGAACGGAUCGGAAGGGGAGAACCCCUCACAGAACAUGUCAAACGCUUUGUCCGGCGCUAUAUUGGAACCCUUGACGAUCUUGUUCUCGAAGUGCCACCUUGACACGAAGGCAUCCUUGGGUUCCCGGCAAAGGUACACGAUCUUGCAGCCGCACGAGCUUGUCUCUGGCGGGAGCAUCGACAAUGGGAGGUGUGUGGAGAGGAGCCUGGGAGAAGGAAGCGUUUCGAGGUAGGCGUAGUCCCUGCGAGGGUCAGGGAUCUCGACAAAUGGCACAAGAUACUGAGGGUUGCUGGUUAGGAGGGGGUGGUCGUUGAAAUUGUAGCGAGAACGGUUGGUGAUGGUGAAAGGCAAGGGCCUUCAUCUAGGUAGUGCCACAUUUGGGCUGGGUGGCGAGGAUGAUGUCGUUGCGGCUGGGCUUGAAGGAGUCUUGGAGCAGCAUGAUCUUGCCAACAAGGUGCGGCCUGCACCAGUAGUUCUUGUACAGCACCAUUGGUUGUGACCACCCUUCUCGAUCUUUUUUUUUGAACGGGUGGUAUAUUACUCAAACAACAUAGUUCUUACAAUCAAACUGGAUCGAUCGCUCCACAAAAAAUGUCUUAAAUUUGUCAAAAUUUGGAUGUGUAAAAUUUGGUCAAAGUUGAAGUUGAGACAUACAUUGUUGGACGGAGUGAGUACAAAAUUUCGCUAGAUCAUGUGCUACCACAUUGUUAAGGCGGCUUGUGUAGGCAAACUUGAUGCCCGGGUCGCCGGAUCUCUUGGAUGACAGGUCUCAAGGAAGUCCUUGUAUCAGAAAGCAUGAAAAUUUUAUUUCUCUAUAAAAAAUUCCAUGUUUUUGGAUGGAUCAGCAUUUUCAGGUGCGGCACUCUCUUCACUCUUUGAUGUAAUGGAUGCCAUAUAUGGUUGAUGAGGAGAAGUCAAGCUCACAAGCUAUUGCUCAAUGUUAAUGUGUGGUAGGCGGUAGUACUUCCGUUAGAGGGAUUUGUUUGGGGUUAUAUAGCAACAGAUGGAAAUGGUUGGUGCGGUGAUGUAGUGGCCGUAGAUCAUACUAUUUGUUGCAAACCAAUAUAUAUCAAGCUGGUCGGUAGACGAGAUAACUUAUUAUAUGUAUGGAGUAGCUUGGCCGGAUUGUGUGGUAUAGAUGUAUAUGUUCUUAUACUAGAUGUAAAGAAGUACUUUUCAUCUCAGUUCCGUACAAAGAUGAAACGAUUCCAUUUUUUGUCCCCUGAAUUCGAUUAGAUUUGGCCGUUUGCAGCUAAAAGAUGCUUGCUGGUUGAUACCUUGUUGAUUGUGAUUUUAUAUGUUAUCUAUCCCUUAGUAAUUGGUGUAUGAGCGUGCGGACCGCGCCAAACAGAUUAGCAGCCACCAUCAUCAUAUAUAUCGACACACGUCAAGGAGAGCUGGCAGGCUGGUGUCCGAUCCGGACAAAUUGGCACUGACCAGUAUAUAAUAAAGGAAAAGCUUCAGUUGGUCUCGACCACAUUGCACGCGCUAUCAGUAGCCGUCCAUCGCAUCUAGCUUCUAAACGGCAGACUCAAGACCAGACGUUAACGACUGACGGAAAGUAUACAGCCACCCUAUUCUAACUCGUAGACCCUUUGGUCAUCCCGAUCCACAGAUCGAGAACGGCCCCACCUGACUCCAUGGUCCGAUCUGAAUCUCAGGGUUAGUGUACCGCAUGGCCUUUUCAUGCGUAUUAUCACUGGGUUGUCUCGUAUCUGGGCUGUCUCUUCGCUGUCUCGCUUUUUCGUCUUAAUAAACUGAUUCAUUCUCAAGUGAGAAAUAUAUACAGAGAAAACACAUAUCCUUAACAGAGAAUGGAUAUAUAUAUAGAGAGAGAGAGAAAAAACAUAUUUUUGACAGAGAAAAUGAAUAUAUAUAGAGAGAAAGAAAACACAGCAUAUUAUUGAGAGAAAAAGAAUAUGUAUAUAGAGAGAAAAAACGCAUAUUGUUGAGAGAAAAAAAUGUAUGUAUAUAUAGAGAUAAAACACAUAUUCUUGAGAGAAAAUGGAUAUAUACAUAGAGAGAGACAGAGAGAGAAACACAUAUACAUGAGAGAGAAUGAAUAUAUACAGAGAGAACACAUAGUCUUGAGAAAGAAAACAUAUACUCUUAAAACAAUGGACAUAUAUCACUGCCAGGAUUUCAGGAUUUGGUGACGGUGAAAAACCGUCAGAAAUAGCCGAAAACCUGACAGAAAAAAAAUGUGUGUCGGUCAACCGUCACGCAAAUACUGCCAGAGCUGGAGCGUCAGGGAAAAACAUUUUGCAUGUCGGUGACCCGUCACAAAUAUAAUUUCUGACGGAUAGGUCUGACGUUGGCCGACAGAAAAAUCUUUUGCCGUUUGGUUUCAGCCACCUCUCGUCUGACGGAUCACCCGUCACAAAAUGUCGACAGAAAAAUAAUUUGUGUCGGUUGAACCGACAUGAAUAUUCAUUUUUUCUGUCGGUUUAUCUGUGAUGGCACCCGUCAAGUUUAAUGUUUUGGUGUGACGGUAAUUAAACCGACGGUGGCCUGUCAGAAGAUCGUAUUGUCCUGACGUUUCAGCAGCCGACAAAGAAAAACGGUGCCGUCGGGAAAACAAGAUUUCUGACAGUGCAAUAAACAACAGAAAAAUAGAUAAUGGUCAGAAAAAAAGAAUUUCACAAUUGAAAGCUAGAAUCUGCAAAAAUGAAAUAAAUAGCUCCAGUUCAUAACAAAAUGUAUAUGCACAGCCAUUAGAUGCAUGACAUCAACACAACCUUGCAUUCAUCAUCCAAAUCAUAACGAACAUUACAGGAAGUCAAAGAUAUCAUUUUGUGUCCAUACAACAUAUUUCAACUACUGGUCAGAUUCAAGCAUCCAAAAGGAAUGGUUGCUACAGAUGACCAUUGUUGAACCUCAAAUCGCCAAAAAGAAGACAGUUUGUGAUCUUCUAGUACUCAGUGGUCACGGUCAGCACUAGCUACAGAUGACCAUUGUUAGAACCAAAUCAGCAAAAAAAAAAAACUUUGUGAUCUGGUACUACACAGUUCGCACGACCAGCACUAGCUUGCAUCAUGAUCAGCUUCACGGCCAGCACGAGCAUCAUCAUCCGCUUCACAGCAAACACGAGCAUCAUCAUCCGCUUCACGGCCAACAUCAAUAUCACUGUCAGCAUAUAAAGCUUCACUAUUAUAAUCAGAUUCAUUCUCCCCAUCUACAUUGAGUCUCCCAUUUUUGUCCAAGUCGGUAGCAGUGUCAUUGAUCUCCAGAUUGGUAGCAUUGUUGUUGUUGCCAUUAGCACUUGUUCCAGCACCAUCCAUUCAAUAAUUCUAGAUUGAUUGUGAGCCAGCAUGUGAAGAACCAGGUGCCCUCUACAGGAAACCAUGAUAAUUGAUUAUUAUGCUUGUCCAUAAGAAACUAACAUUUGAGACAAUAAGCCAAAAACAAAAUAAAGAUGUACUUUGCCACAUAUAUUUUGUACAUUUAUUUAUUCUGCUUGUCUAAUAUGGUGAGGAGCCUAACACUUAUAGCCCUCCCAGUAACCAUAAAAACCAAAAACUUACUAAGAAUGAGGUUAUCUGAUGUGUUACAAUUUUCAACAUGAAGCCUCACUGCUGCAUUGAUUGUUGGCAGUCUACCAUUACAAAGAUCAUUAGUGAUCUAGAUUAAUUAAGUCAACCCAAUUACAAAAGGUACCGCCAUCAAUUCUUUUUGUCACCAUCAUCAAUUCAAUUAACAUUAUAUAUGCAGAGUUGUUGAAUAAACUUACCUGAAACUGCGCUUGAACCUGUUGCCGACAACUCAAUAAAUGUCCUGGUGGUUCCUUUCCAAGCUCAGCAAAAAGCAUCUGCAUUCAUAUGUACAGGUCCAGAAUGAAGAGAAAAAAUGUAUAAAAGAUCCUUGAAUGGCAAAUAGCAUCUGCAUUCAUAUGUACAGUUCAAGAAUGGGCACAAGCUAGCAUGCUGCAUCCUGUUAUUGCUAUUUGAAUGGAACUAGCAAGUCCAUUGAGCUGUUUUAACAGUCCCUUGAAAAAUUAUCAAGCUCACGGCUUCAAUUUUGCUCACACAAUAGACAAGAGAUUUUAUUUAGUGGUAGCCAGAAUGAAAUGAAUGUUUAAAGAUGACAAAAAAGAACUCCUAUGUCUCAUCAUAUCUAUCAAAAGACAAGCUAAGUCCUGCUAGCUGGAAUGAAAUGAAUGUUUCCAUGGUUAAACAAUUCAAAUAUGGACAGGAAUUAAAAUUUAAAUGAGUAGAGUCAGUUUAAGGAUUUGGGUUAGGACAUCUUUACCAUGAUCAGUUCGUGGUCAACCUCUUGUUGCUGGGUUAGAUGUUGAUUGUGUUGUGUUAGGCCCUCGUUAGCACGUCGGAGUUGGUGAUUCUCUUCGGACAAGUGUCAAUAAGAAUCAGAAGUUGAUGGCCUAGCUUUCCUUCCUUUAGCUGCAGCAACAACAUCCGCCUUUCUCACAGCGCCAUCUCCUAUAAGAAAGCGGCCAUGAGGCAGACCACCGCCCUUUGUGUACAAGACAUGUCCAUCUACUUAUGGCUGCUCUGAAUCAUUUGGAUGUGCAGCUGCAACUCUUUCCUAGUAGUCCCUCUACAAUUUACAAAUACAACUUACAUUCAUGUUGCCUCACACACACUCACACAAAGUGAACAAAACAAGAUUAGAGUGUAUAUACCAUGCGCUUUUGUGCUUUCUGGCUGGGGAUUGCUCCACUACUUCCAUUACUGUCCAUAUUCUUGGCACCUGAUUUCAUGACGGCAUAUUUGUUCAAAAUUGUAGCCUUUUCGGGUCCAUGUAUAGCUUCCUGCAAGCACUUUCAGACAUUAGUUCAUCAAGGUUCUAAAUCUGAAAAAUGGAAUUAACAAUGAUUAUUGUACACACGAACAAUAGAGAAAAUCUUACAAUGUAUUGUUGUGUCUCCGUAAAUGGGCGUGAACCCCCUCUGUUUUGAGCAUUAUUUUCAGAACCAAAGCAAGAAUCUUGGGCUUUUGAUCUUUUUUCCUUGAACUCAGCACUAUCCCAGUAUGCAGCAAGAAGGGGCCAAACAUCCUUUUUGCACCAUUCUACCCUAACAUUGAGGUACUCAUUCUCAUCAAGUUCUCUACGACAUGCAAGAGUGUCAUCAAGAAUCUCUCCUUGGUUCUCAUAAUGCAGCUUCACAGCAUCCACCCGAACUUGGUACAUUAUGUUCCGAACUCUCUUUCUACAAUAGUUUUCAAGAACACGGGCAGCCUCUCGCUUGUGUUCAUCAGCCACGGUGAACAAACGCUGCAAAGUGCACAACAACAAAUUAGUAUAAAGAAAUUGUGUUCAAGUCUUAGAUGUGACUCUAAUUACCCAAAAUUCCUUCUUCACUUUGUGUGCACAUGUCUCUCCUUGGUCAUUAGUCUUCUCAUAGAAAUCCGCCCAUGUCGUUGCUGGAUAUAAUUCUCCAUCCGCGUCCUUCAAAACACCAGGGUAUUGUCGUUUCAGAAUACAUCCAAGCUGGGUGGUGUACUUGUAGUCACCGCAAGUAUAGUCUCUGUACGUGAAUUGCCUACAAAAAUGUUAAAGUAUGAGAACUACAAUUAGAUAAAAGAGAACAGCAAUAUGUACAUCUAGGAAUUCACUUAUGUGUCACCCUGAGGUAUAAGGACCACUUUCCGUCCUCGUAGAGGAUUUCUCAUCUCAGUCCUUGACCUCUUGCGCCUCCCUCUUGUUUCUACAGCUGCUGCCCUUUUAGUACGAACAGAAUCAGUUCCUCCUCCGGAGUUAGCUAUUCCUUCUAGCUACAAUGCCACCAGAGUUGGGUAUCUCGUCGUUUCUCAGCUCAGUCCUUGACCUCUUUUGCCUCCCUCUUGUUUCUACACAGAUGGGUAUCUCGUUGUUUCUUUCAGCUGCAAUACCGCCAGAAUUAGAUAUUUGGAUGUUCCUUUUGCUGGGGUGAUCUCCAUGGCAAGUAACGCUCCUUUGGCUGCUGCCUCCACCAGUACCUUGGCUGCUGCCUCCACCUCCACCAAUACCUUGGCUGCUGCCUCCACCAGUACCUUGGUUGUUGCCUCCACUAGUACCAGCACGCGAUGACUUCCUUAUGUCGAAGCCCCUCCAUCUCCUGUAAUCAAACAUAAGCUUGUUAGUUCAUGCAAAUUUUAAAAUUAAACACAAUAUAUAAAACACAUACACAAUCAGGGAGACAUAGCAAAAUGAGACAAUAUAGGUGAACAUGUAGCAGAAGCAACAAAAUAAGAGUGCGACAACAAAAUUACACAAGCUACACAACAAAUUAAAGACACAACAGAAUUAUACAUUACAACUGUUCUCAACAAAAAGAGUGCGACAACAAAAUUGCACAAGCUACACAACAAAUUAAAGACACAACAAUAGCGAUAUGAUAUUAGAAAUCUUCUGGGUCAUAAGGCGGAUGAUCAGCAAGUGGGAGUUGUCUGGAUCCUCUUCGUCUUCUGUUUUUUCAGCCUCUUCACCAUUUGUCUUCACACAAUGUUGGGGUUGGCUAGCAAUUCUAAAUCUCUGGCAUUAGUUAUAGUUAUCUCAUCUGAGAUCAGGGGUGUCAUAUUGUCAGGAUUAAGAUCCAAGGCAAUAGUGAAAUUUCCAUGCGGUUCUUCCUCUUGAAACACCGGGGCAAUUUCCACGGGCCCUUCAGAAGGGUUAGAUUCAGUAGCCGGUUGUUUUGGUAGAUGAAGAGGGAAUUGUGAGAGCGGACGUUUGUCACUUGUCUACACAUAGCCUCGUGGAGGGACGUGAUAAACCACUUGCCAAUAUAUAAGAUCUGACCUUGUCUUGCAUGCAUAUGACAAGUAAUAUACUUGAGUAACUUGACUUGCCAAGACAAAUGGUUCAUUAGUCUGCAGCCUAGAUGUGCGCUUAAUUUCUACCAGCCCUAAAUUUGGUGAACGCCUAACUCCGGUUGUUGGAUUAAACCAGCGACAAUCAAAUAAAACAAGCUCUAGCUGCAUGCUGCCUUCCCAUUUAAUUUUAAUAAUGUCUUCAAUGACACCAUAAUACUCGGUGACAUUGUCUUCAUCAUCUGUACAAGAGACACAAACACCACUAUUAAUAGAAGCGUUUCCUGAUCUCUUGUUCUCAUACUUCUCUGACCGAAACCUAUAGCCAUUGAUAUCAUAUAUUCCAUAUGAUGUAACUUUUCGUAAAAAACCAUAAGAAAGUUCGGACAAACAAUUAUCAAUUCCAGAAGUCUUCAUGCACUGCAAAUGGAGUAAGAUAUGUAAGUUUUCAGCGCAUUAAUUUGGUAUGUUGGACUGAUUUUGAAAGGUUAGAAAUAUUACUUCAUUCCUGAACCAAUCAAAGAAAUUGGGUCCAUUUCUUUUGCCACGACCAAUUUUCCAACCAUUUAAUCUUAAGUCACGACGAUGCUUGUCAUUUGGUUCAACUCUGAUGCUCUUCCAUUCUUCCUUUUGAAAUUUGCUAAAACAACAAAACAAAGAACUCAUCCUAAUUAUUGAAAGACAUGGAUAGGAUUUUCAGAAUUGGAUUAUUAACAAGACUUACACAAAGAAGUCAUACAUCUCUGGUAUGUUGGUUAAUAUAUACAGGGCAGCAGCCUUGUACUCAUCAGGUUUGAGUAUACGAGAUCCUUGAGUGUUCGUGUAUCGGCCUUGGUAUUGAAAGAAAUCAAUGGUGCAUGAACUAUCAUUGGAAGGGCCAUUCUCAUCAUACCGAGGCGUCUUAUUUCUGGCUGAUCGAACACCAGCCCUAAAAUAAAGGGACAAAAAAAGAGUCGCCUCCUCAACUAAGUAAGCUACAAUGGAAGCCUCAACACGUGCCUUAUUGCGUACCUUCUUCUUAAGAUCCCCAAUAAACCUAAAUAUAUGUUUUCUCAACAAUUUAGGAAAGAAGAGAAUAAAUCAUAGCACAUUGUGUGUUAGAACUUAGAAAUUUACCUUUCAAAUUGAUACAUCCAUCGAUUCUGGACUGGACCUCCUAGUCUAGCUUCAUAAGGAAGAUGCACAAUUAGGUGUUGCAUAGGAUUGAAAAAACUAGGAGGAAAUAUCUUCUCCAAUUUAUAGACUAGUGCAGCCACAUCCUGUUCUAGAGACUGCACAACAUCCCAGCUCAGUUCUUUUGCACACAGUUGACGAUAGAAAAAACUCAGCUCAGCCAAACAAAUCUAUAUAUUUUCUGGAAGAAAACCCCUAAAUGCUACAGGGAGUAAGCGUUCGAUAAAUAUGUGAAAGUCGUGACUUUUCAGGCCAAAGAUCUUUGAUUUCUUUAGAUUAACACCACGCUUAAUGUUGGCUGCAUACCCAUCUGGAAACUUCAGUUUCUGAAACCAUCCUAGGAUAAUUGCUUUGUCAUCCUUCUCGAUGCAGAAUUUGGCCCUAGGCUUCUCCCACUUCCCAUUCUUGUUUGGAUCAGACAAAUGCAAAGCUGGACGGUGGCAAAUUUGUUGUAAAUCAAGUCUGGCCUUCCAAUUAUCUUUGGUCUUCUCCUUUAUAUCAAAACAUGUGUUCCAUAUAGCCUCUGCUACGUUUUUCUUCAUUGUGCAUUACAUCAAUGUUGUGACGAAGAAGUAAUUUAUUAAAGUAUGGAAGCUGCCAAAAGCAACUUACAUGGCUCCAAUUGUGUGUUGAAUUGUACCCUUUCUUAUCACUUACAAGAUUGUUCAUUUGGGAUUCCACUUCAGCUCCUGUCAAAGGCCUAGGUGCAAUGUCAUGUAUAGUUGUAGCCUUUCUAAAUGCAUUCUCUUGGUUUCUGAAUUCCUAGUCUUUGGGUAGGUGGCGUCUAUGAUAAUCAAACCAACAAGCCUUUCCACCAGCUUUGAGUCGAAAAGCUUUGGUAUCAGACAAACAGAUUGGGAAAGCAAGAAGUGCAUGGGUGCUCCAACCAGAAAAGUUGCCAUAAGCAGGAAAAUCAUGAAUUGACCACAAGUACGCAGCCUUCAUCCUGAAUUUUCUUUUUACCGAGGCAUCCCAUGUAUCUACCCCCUCCCAUAACUUCAUAAGUUCAUCCACUAAAGGUUGCAUUAUAACAGAGCUCAACUUAUUACCAAGGUAUUCAGGACCAGAAAUUACCAUGGAAAGGAAUAUGUACUCCUUCUUCAUGGCCACUCCAGGUGGAAGAUUAAGUGGAGCAACAAAUACAGGCCAACAUGAAUAAGAGGCAGCAGUUAAGUUGAACGGCGUGAAGCCAUCGGUUGCAAUAGCUAGUCUAACACUUCUAGGUCACUAGCAAAAUCUUUGAACUCUUCAUCAAAGUUCUUCCAUGCAUCCCCAUCACAAGGGUGCACCAUCUUCCCUGAUGUGGACUGCUUAUAAGACUUCAUUAAUUUUGAUACAUCGGCAUGUGCAUACAAUCUUUGUAGUCUAUCUGUAAUGGGGAGGUACCGCAAUAUUUUCCUAGGGACUUUGUUUGUGUCAUUCUCAUAUCUAGGAGUUUUACAAAAGUCACAAAUGACUUUAUGUUCAUUGUCUUUGUAAUACAACAUACAAUUGUUAUAAGACAUCAAUUUUGACAUAUGGUAUUCCCAAACCUUCUAACAAUUUCUUUGAAUGGUAGAAGUCUUCAACCAAAUUAGAAUCAGGAGGAAGAAGCUCAUGGACUAGCUUUAGGGUAUCAUCAUAAUGUGCAGUAGACAUGUUGUAUCGUGCCUUUAAAUCUAGCAUCCGAGCUACAGUGGAAAGACUUGUAUGUUGCGUGUUGGCAUGAACCUUAUCAUCAACAGUGUCAAGCAUCCUAUAAAAUGCCUUAGCAUAAGGUGUUGGCUCCUCAUUGACAAUGUGUGAUGUAUGUUCAGCAGCUAGGUCAUCUAACAUAUCAUUCAUGCGGUCCACUACAUCACUAGCGUGCCCCAUAUCAACAUCAUUUUCAUCAUUCACAAUAGGUGUCUCACCAUGGGCAGACCAUGUUGUGUAGUUUUCCAUAAACCCCCAUUUGGCCAAAUGCAACUCUACAUCCUCCCUUAUGUGCCGAUAAUCAUUGCGGCACUUCAUGCAAGGGCAAUUAAUGGUACCAUUUUCUACUAAAUUUGGAAGAGAAAAGGCACGAUCCAAGAACAACUUUGUUUGUUCUAGCCAUUCAGUUGACAUACUUCUACGACUCCAACCACUAUACAUCCAUUCACGAUCUUCCAUCGAUCACACUUCUAAAAUAAAAACAAUUAACUCAAUAAAAACAUAGCACAUGCAAUCUGUGUAAGAUAUAAAACAAAGCAUUCAUGAAACGCAUAUCACCAUAUGUCCACAUAAAGAAGAAAUAGCAUAUCAAAAUUUUAACUUUGAAGGAUUCACUUCACAAUGUUACAGAGGAGGGGAUUUCUUGAUACUCACCUCGUCAGAUUCGCAGAAGACUCAAAACAGAAUGGAGCUUCGGCCAAGCAGUAGAGAGUGAGGUCGCCGGCGUCCAGUCUUCCGUCACCUUCCAGCAAGCGUCACCAUAGAUAGCGAGCUAGCUGCAACACGGGUAGUCUGGGAGGGAGGAGUAUGGUGCGGGAGGGAGAGAGAGAGCAGGAGCGGCGGCGGGAUCCCCACGGCGUGUGGCCGUGAGUGGCGGCGAGAUCCCCACGCCGCGCCGCCGGAUGGAGUGGCGGGUCGCAGGCUAGGGAGGGGCCUAUGGGUGGCGGGGCGGCUGGGACCUGCGGGUGGCGGGUGGCGGGUGGCCGGCCGGGAUGGGCUGCGGGCGGCGGCGGGCGGCGGGGUGGAGUGGCCGGGUACUCUGCGCGGGGGCAGGGGGCUGAGUAGUCUAGGUUUUGGGAUUGGGAGGGGUUUUCUUUUCUUUUCUUUUUUUGCUCGACCAACUGUGCAAGGCGCGUUGUUUACUGAAAAAAGCGCGCUAGUAUCGGCGCGAACCCAAUUCGAUGGAAAGAAAAAUCUGACAUUUAUUUCUGGCGUGGUUUUAUAAUUUCCCGUCACAAAAAAACUAUAUUUCUGACGGUGUCCGACACGCAAAUUAAUCACCGUCACGAUAAUAAUUUGGAACCAUUUCAAUUAAAUUUUGAAAAUGGUGUGGAAGUGUAAAAAUUGGCUAUACUCUAAACAACUAUGUAAAAUGUAGUUUUACACACUUACAAAUGUUUUUGGAUCAAAAAAGAUAGAUUAAACUUCAUUUGCAUCACUAACUUCACCAUUUCAUUCUAACUUCACAAUUUCAUUCCAAGAGAUCGUAUGACACAUCGUAUGAGAUAUCACCAUUACAAUGCAAUGUAUAGUCAUACUUCUCUCAAAUGGCCUCAACAUGUUACGCCAGCCUUAUUAGUGCCUAAAUCGAUCCGUGGUUGAUUUUCAAAUUUUUCGGAGGACAUUUGGAUCUUAUUUGAAUAAAAUUUGGUUAAAAUACAUUUUUUAUUCUAAUUAAUAGCCAACAAGUAUAAAAAUUUACCAUACUCAAAUGGAAUGAACAAAAUUGUCCAAAUAGUUUGAAAGUGUUUAGAGCAAGACUUAUAGUGUUUGCUUCACAAAAGUGAUAAAAAUAAUUUUUGUGACGCUAUUUUUUUUACGGGUACAUCAUAACCGCCACAAAUAUGUGUUUUGUGUGACGGUGAACCGUCACAACAAUAGGUAAGACCGACAUGAAAAUACCGAUUUUCCGUGUCGGGUCCCUUCCGCCGCAAAAUAGUUUAUUUUCUGUCGGUAGUGUGAAGGCCUGCCCCGAAAAUUAUUAUUUUAGUGUCGCUAGUUGUGUGCCCGUCACAAAUAUAAUGUUUGUGACGGUAAUUCUGCUGCCCGUCACGAAAAUAAAUCACCGUUACCGAACCCUGAGAUACUGGUAGUGAUCUCUUCCAUGCCGGACAGCUAAGGGACAUGUCAUAUAUGGAUAUGAAAUUUUCAUUUGGGAUAGGCAUCAAAUGCAGAUCACAUCUACACACAACAAUGAUAGAUCGGGAAAGAAGGAUUGUUUUACAUUUUCUCUUGUGGAUUGAACAGUUCCCAGCCUUUUUUCUUACUAUGGUGACAGAUCGCAUCUACACGCAAAUGUUGUACUCCCUCCAUCACAUAUUAAAGUGGAUUUUCUAUUAUAUGUAUCUAAACACUUUUUAGACAUAAAUAUAUUCAUAUUUGGACAAUUUUGAGUCACUUAAUAUGGGACAGAGGGAGUACUGUACUAUUGUUGCUUUUGCAAAUAACCUAUUUUUCUUUACCAGUGCCUAAUCAUAUAGGAUUAAUGGGACCGGUAUCUGUUCGUGUGGAAAAAACAACUGACGGAGAAAAAAAAUUCAAAUAAACAUAGCCUUGCAGAGCAGGGAGCAGUAUGUAACUAUAGAGUAUAGACCCAGUCUUUUUUCUUACAGUACGCGCGAUUGAAAAAGGCUCGUGCAAAACACUGUGGAUCGUACAGUGUCAAUGCACGUCGCGUCAUGAACAUGCUACGGGACCACAGACGUUCUCCGUUAGACGACGUCCACAAUGUCAAAAGAUGACGUACACAAAAACGAUCGACCGUCCAGUCCAGUUCCUGAGGACGGACAAGAUUCGUGGAGUGCUACGCUCGAGAGCAGAAAAUCCUCUCUCAAUAAAGGAAACAUCACCCUGUCACUAUAUGUAACAUAUGCCCCGUACACCGCCAUUUUCUCGAAAAGAUGCUGCACAGCAACUAACGAAGACGUCGCCAGCUAAAGAUAAAACUUGUGCACAAAGGAAGGGGGCAUCUUAAUUUGAGCUCCAACUUGGGCAUCUCGUUGUUCCUUUUAUCCUGCUACUGCUAGCUAGCCUGAAGAAGAAAAUAUUUGCAGAUGCUGGCUGCUACUUGCCUCCGUCGACAUUGUCAAGCAUAUGUAACGUGGCCGGCCGUGACUGCUGAUGGAGUAACUGCCAUCACUGCUGACCUACACUACACGGUCUAUGGAUUUAACUUGUACUGCAGAAAGCAUCUUACAUGUAACCAAAGCAGCAGGAAGCAUCUUUCGAUCAGGUGCAUCUCAUCACACUCAAUGACACAGCUAGAGGUGUGUUUGGAAUACUGGAUGUUUGCUUCCUAAAGAUGCUCUCAGGCAUGAAUGAAUAUUGCAUUAUGUUUCUAACACUCCCAUGACAACGUACACUGCUGCGCAUAGUUUAACCUACCAACAGACUACCACUAUCCCACCUGGCCACCCAUCUCAAUACUGCAAUAUAUUUAUACCGUCUCUUUCAGUGUCUGUCCACAUAUAUACGUCCAAUUAAUUUGGCAGACGUUUAGUUAAUCCGAGCUUCCGAAGCAAGAACGUAACAAUCAUCAUUUCAGCAGCAUUUGUAUUUAAGUCCUCGGAUGAUCAGCCAAGUAAUUGUGCCCCCAAACAGCUAGAGAAGAUGAUGGGCGGCGUGGGAGUGCUGCUCUCGAGUUGGAUAGAGGGCUCGCCGUCCUUCUCUGCAGUGUUCUUCACCUUGGCUGCUCUUGUCUUCGCGGUCUACUUCUACGAGCCGUCAUGGCGGGUGCGCAGGGUCCCCGGACCGCUCGCCUUCCCUCUCAUCGGCCACCUGCCCUUGCUGGCUAAGCACGGCCCAGAGGUGUUCGGCGUCCUCGCUGAGAGAUACGGGCCAAUCUACAGGUGAGCUAGCUGUCGUGGUCUGAUUCCCUCUUGGACACUGAUCAAACUCUGGUGCUGGGUUUUGAAAACUUAGUCCUGUUUCCAGGUUUCACAUGGGCAGACAGCCGUUGGUUAUGGUAGCAAGCCCUGAGCUCUGCAGGGAGGUAGGCAUUAAGAAGUUCAAGAGCAUCCCCAACAGAAGCAUGCCUAGUCCCAUCCGUUGCUCACCUAUUCACCACAAAGGCCUCUUCUUCACCAGGUAAGUACAGACAAGCUUACGGUAUUUACUUUGGUGUUGGAAAAUAUUCCUUAAUAUACCCAUAUUCAUAUGAAUGAUGAGACUUCAACCUAGAUUGGUUGAUUUUGGGGAAAACGAAUGAACAUUGAAAAUGAAAGAAACUUAUUAGCAUUGUGACGAGUCAAAAAUAAAAUGCGAUAAAUAGUUCACAAUGGAACUCAGAAUGUGUAAAAUAGUUCACAAUGGAAAACUUUGUAGUAGUAUGUUUUGGUUGACAGGAAAGUCGUCCGAUUGGACUCUAAAUUGUAAAAGAGAACAGUACCACCUUUCAAACGUGCCACCGAGGCAGCACGUGAGGGUUUGGAUGUCUCUUGAAAGUGGUACUCCCUCCAAUCCUAUAUUCUUUGUCGUGGUUUUAGUUCAUCAAGGGUGGACCCCAGGAGAGGGGGCAAAGAUUGUAAGCUUUUGAAAAUAUAGACAAAAAUUAAAAGAAUGGGGCAAAUAUUUAGGUUGGGUGGGGGCAAUCUCUAUGUACUAUGAACAUAUAUAGUAUCGAAAGUGGUACUGACAUUUGUACAAAAUAAAGGAAAAGGUGAGGUUACUCUCGACCUCACUGUGCCACUUAUCUGGCCGUAGAUCCGGCCGUUUGCACAAACGGCAAGGAACGGAAAGGUUUCUCAGAUGGCAUAGGGGACGUACAGCUGGGCUCUUAGGGUUACUGUUACGCCUAGACAUCUCAUUAUUUCCUAUACCGCACCUAAGGUUUAAAUCCGAUCGUGGUUGUCGAUGCUGGACGUGUGUUUCAUCGCUAAUUCGUGAUGUACUGCUGAGAGAGAAGGUGUAUAUAUACACACAUGGAGAGAGAAAACACAUAUUCUUGAAAGAGGAUGGAUAUAUAGAAAGCAAAACAAAAUCGAAUAGAGACCUUAGGAAACACAUAUUCGUGAGAGAGAAUGGAUAUAUUUAUAUCUAGAGAAAACACAUAUUCUUAAGAGAGAAUGAAUAUAUAUAGAGCAAAACAGAAUCGAAUAGAGAGAAAACACAUAUUCGUGAGGAAGAAUGGAUAUAUUUAUAUAUAAAGAGAAAACACAUAUUCUUGAGAGAUGAUGGAUAUAUAUAGAGAGAGAAAGACGAGAUCAAAUAGAGAGAGAAAACACAUAUUUGUGAGAGAAUGAAUAUAUACAGGGAGAGAGAGAAAACACAUAUUCUCGAGAGAGCAUGAAUUUAAACAUAGAGAGAAAAAUGAAAUCGAAUAGAGAGACAAAACACAUAUUCGUGAGAGAUAAUGAAUAAACAGAUAGAAAACACGUAUUCUUGAGAGUAUACAGGUCAAUGAACGACGAACAGUACAACGUUGGGUUCCUUAUCUGCCGCGACACUGUACAUGAACAAUGACUUGCUUUGUCCUACCCGUAGGUUCUACUCCCUCCGUUUCAUAAUUCUUGUCGAAAUAUUAUAUGUAUCUAUUUUUAGACAAAUUUGAGACAACAAUUAUGCAACUGAGAAAGUAACUUUUAUCUGCGGAUCGGCACCAGUAGAGAUCUUUGGUUGAUUAACCAGGAAGAUUGAUCCAGAUCCUUUUACCCAUGGUACACUGCGGGAUGGGGAAUCAAUUAUAAAAUUUUCCCAGGUACAGUUUUACACUGUAGUCACGCAGGGCAUGCAGUAGCCUGCCGCCUCCUACGCUUAGGUAGCGACGGUGACGGCGUCUGCUUACGUCUGGCCUGCCUCACGCUUCCCGAUCAGACGUCUCAGCGCAACAGCCUAAACGGUCCAGAUAGGUGGACUAGAGUUCUCGGGUGUAAAAAAUGCGGUCUCGAAAAUAAAUCCAAUAGUCUCUAUAAUGAAAUUAAAUUACUAUGAAAAGAAUUAAAACCUGACCUUAUAUUAUAUGUUUUGGCAGGGACACAAGAUGGCAAACCAUGCGGAACGUCAUCAUCUCCAUCUACCAACCGUCGCACUUGGCAAGCCUGAUCCCAGCCAUCCAACCUUACGUGGAGCGGGCCGGUCGUCUCCUCCGCCAUGGAGAGGAGAUCACCUUCUCCGACCUCUCCCUGAAGCUAUUCAGCGACACCAUCGGCCAGGUCGCCUUUGGGGUCGACUUCGGCCUCACCAAAGGCAAAGGCGCCGAGGCCGAGGAGAGCAUCCCCGACGGCUUCAUCCGGAAGCAUUUCUACGCCACCACCGAGCUCAAGAUGGACCUGUCGGGCUCACUGUCCAUGUUGCUCGGCAUGGUGGCGCCGCUGAUGCAGGAUCCCGUGCGGCAGCUCCUGCUGCGCGUGCCGGGCUCCGCCGACAGACGGAUGGAGGACACCAACUUGGCGCUGAGCGGGCUCCUGGACGGGAUCGUGGCGGAGCGGGCUGCGCUGCCGGAGCUCGAGAGGGGGCAGAAGAACUUCCUCUCGGUGCUGCUCAACGCCAGGGAGAGCACCGAGGCCUUGAGGAAUGUGUUCACGCCCGACUACGUGAGCGCGCUCACGUACGAGCACCUGCUCGCCGGGGCCGUCACCAUGUCCUUCACGCUCUCGAGCCUCGUGUACCUGGUGGCCGCGCACCCGGAGGUGGAGGAGAAGCUUCUCCGGGAGAUCGACGCGUUCGGGCCCAAGGACGUGGUGCCCAGCGCUGAGGAGCUCCACAACAAUUUCCCCUACCUAGAGCAGGUAUAUAUGACGUCUAGCUACAGUAUGUUUUAAUUAACGAUUAAACCUGAAUUUUGAAGCUAAUUAAACCCUAAACCUAAUAUAUAGGUCUUGAAGGAGACCAUGAGAUUUUUCACCGUGUCUCCGCUAAUUGCAAGGGAGGCAUCCGAAGAUGUUGAAAUUGGAGGCUAUCUCUUGCCCAAGGUAUUAAUUCUUUAUCUGCAUUCCACGAGGUCCUCAUUAGUACAUCUUUAUCAAGUUUUGCAUCCGACAAAAAUUCCCAGAAAGCACGACUUUUUUAUUACGAAAUAAGCUACUCCCUCCAACCGGUCUUGUCUCAAAUUUAUCCAAAUACAGAUGUAUCUAUAAGUAAAAAACGUCUACAUAUAUGUAAUAUUUUUACAAGUAAUUCCUACCGGCCGGAGGGAGUAGCAUUUAUGCUCCUCGAUCGACUAAUGUGUUGGUUCUACAAGUCAAAUUUCUUAGUACAUCAUUGUUUGUUUGUACAUUCCCAACAACAAUUCUGACAACCCACAAUCUGGUGCAAAUUAAUGUAUGCAAGGGCACAUGGAUAUGGUUGGCACCAGGCGUGCUAGCAAAAGACCCGAAGCAGUUCCCGGACCCUUAUGUGUUCCGUCCCGAGAGGUUCGAUCCUGAGAGCGAGGAAUGCAAGCAGAGGCACCCCUACGCCUUCAUCCCCUUUGGCAUUGGUCCUCGGGCAUGCAUCGGACAGAAGUUCUCCAUGCAGCAGCUCAAGCUCGUCGUCGUCCACCUCUACCGCCAGUACGUCUUCAGGCACUCACCAAAUAUGGAGGCCCCCCUUCAGUUCCAGUUCUCCAUUGUUGUCAACUUCAAGCACGGUGUCAAGCUCCAUGUCAUUGAGAGGAAUGCAUGAUGUGUGUGCGACAAGUGGCGUACAAUAAGCAUGCCAAAUGGACUGCAUAUAUAGGGCCUGUUUGAUUUACAACCAAAAGUAGCCUCACCAAAAAAUUGUCUUGCCCAUGAAAUUUGGUUGGUGUUUGGAUGGACUCCAAAAUUUUGGCUCGCCCAGCCCAUCUGGGGCGCGCCCGUGCGUUUCCACGCGAAGUAUUGGCGAGUCGAGGGCAAUAAAAAGCUCCGCCAAAGAAUUGACAACGCCCCUCACCCUCUAAUCUCUGGUGGCCCACAACCCGUUCUUCUCAAGGGGUGCCUAACGAACACAGAAAAAUACGGUUUCCGGCCGCGCGUGUAUCUCCACACCGAUCGCUUUUCCGUUUUUCUUGUAUCUUUCUCCUCCUUUUCCUCUAGCUAAGCACACCAUGGGUCGAAUCAGAGCAGAAAUAUCAAAGGAACAGGUGCUUUUGCUCUGUGAAAAAGCGAAUCGGUGCAUCAAAGAGAAAGUUCAGCAAACUUUUACAACUGUCUCGAUCCACUACUCUGAUCGAUCAGUUACUUCUAGAUCUACCUCGAGAAUAAAUAAGUGGUUCAUGCUAAAAUUUUACGAGAAAUAAUUGUAGCACGAUUAUUAUAAGUUUGAGUUAAGUUGGCUGCAAACCAAAUGUGGGAAUAAAAAGUUUGCCAAAAAGUUGGCAUUGCAAUGGUAGCAAUCCAAACAACACCCUCUUACCAAAGGUCAUGCCCUUGUUUUGAUCAUGCCAAAAUUUGCCAAAAAAAAAUGGUGGGGCUGAUUGGGGCUCCAAACAUAACCUGGUUUAGAGCCAAUAUGUACCAAGCCAAUUUUUUGGUGUUGUUUGGAUGAUUGCCAACUUUUUGGCUUGCCAAUGUUACUUUGUCAGUUCACUUUUUUUUUUUGUUAAAGUUGGCCAAAUCAUGAGGAAACAAAAGAACAAUCAAAUUUUGACAGAGCGAUGAUGGCUAAAACCAACCAGCCCCUGAUUUACAAGUUGGGGGUGGAGGAGCUGCUUCCCGGCCUUGACUUGAAUUCCUCUGCUAGCUGCUGUCCAGACAGAGUGAGUCUAGUCGUGUCUUGUCUUCUCAUGUGGGUUUGGCUGAGCCUGAGCCUGAGCCUGAGGGCAGUCGAGUUCAAGUCUGGACUCAUGACUUGGUUGAGUCCAACUCAUACUCUUUGCUCGCUGCAUGCACACAGGUCAAACCAGACAGAAAUCCCCAAAUCCACAGAAUCGAUCAUUGCAUCAUCGUCUUGGAUCGAGCAGCAGCCAAGCCAUGGCGGCACAAGACUCUUCCUCCGGCGACACAAGGCUGAGAUCCGCUCUCACGGUGAGCGCCGACGACCGCGCGCGCCUCCACGCCCUCUUGCAGGACUCUCCGUCUCCGGCUCCGGCUCCGGCAGCAGCGAACAAUACUAGUCAACAUCAUGUGGCAAGCUUCUUCGAGGGGUUGGCGCUGCGAGGGAUCCGCGUCCUCAGCAUCCAGCCAGGCCUCAUCCGCUGCUCCUACACCGUCCCAAACCACCUCACAGUAUGUGCUUUCAUCCCUUCUUCUUCAUCCAACCUUUUCCAUUUCUCUCGCCUCACCAAAACACACAACACGGCACGCAGGACGCCGCCACGGGCUGCCUGGCCGCCGGCGCCGUGGUGUCCCUGGUGGACGAGGUCGGCUCGGCGGCCGCCAUCGCCGACGCGCAGAACCUCAAGGUCUCCGUCGACAUGUCCGUCGCCUUCGCCGACCUCUCCCAGGCGCGCCCGGGGGACAAGCUCUGCAUCGUCGCCAGGGCCUUGGGGCACAAGGGCGCCUACUCCGGGACGCACGUGCUCUUCACCAACGCCGGCAAUGGCCGCGUCGUCGCCGAGGGCAGGCACUCCCUCUUCGGCAACAUGAAGAAGAAGACUACAACUCCUGCUCCUGCUCCUGCUGCUCACACCAGGAGCAACAUGUGAUGUAUCAUCUACUGCGUAUCUACUACUAAGCUCAUUCAUCAUGUAUGUAUUCUGUAAUGCUUAUCUACUACGUACGAAUUAGCUCAUUCAUCAUGUACUGUACUACUAUAACCCUGCAGUUUGAGCAUACCAACUAGCAAGCAUUUCCAGUUCCUGUUGUAAUAACAAUGAUAAAAGAUAACAACCACCAGAGGACAUCAUCAAACAGUUAAUUGCAUUCCUUCUGGCUCAUCAUCGUCAUCACACCAGAAUAUUGUCUGCUGAGGCUAAUGUUUUGUCCAUCCACCACAAAAUAAGAACUACUUUCAGAUCCAGAAUUCUAUUUUGGGUGCUAUGAAUAACCCACUACAGAUUUUAUUACAGUUGCGCUGUCAAAUUUUAACCCUUUUGUUGCCGAUUCUCUCAAGGGGAAAACUUCCUCUGCGAAAAAUAAAUGUGCAAAGUCUUUCUUCUUGUAUACCACCACCACCCAGGCACCCACUACAAAAAUCGGACAUCUUCUAGUUUCCAGGCUUCCUCACAAACGCCUUUUGGACCUGCACAGGUACAGCACAAAACAAGUUAUUCUACAGUCCAUUUGACAUGCUUACAUACUUCCACUGUGAUAGUUAUCAACUUGUUUACCUGCUCCAGUGUCAAGAACAUAAUCACAUUCCAUGAUCCCAGCCUAGCAAAGUUUGGAAGGAAGCCUUUGUAAAAUGCCAGAGGUCCCUGCACACACAACUCCUACGUAUUAGCAACCUGCUCCGACUUACUUUGCAUUCAACGGGUAUAUAACUAAAUCAGUGCCUGGGAGCCAGGGAUGUCCAGAAUAUUCACUUCACAGAUAUCACCGAGUAUACCAUUCACAAAGCAUAGCUCAAGAGAUACUUAAGCAAUUUGAUACACACAGUGGAGAACAGUAUCAACAUAUUGUGCAGUGCAGAAUUAAGCUUGACAUGCCAUCAUUAAUUGACAUAAAUAAAGAGUUAAAUGUUAGGAGAUGAAAAUAACAUAACUCCUACAAUGUGCUGUCGCGGACAGAAAGCUGUAUAGGUACACGGUGAUAUAUAAACAACGGAGUUCCCAUGAUGACAUGAUUGCUUGGAUAUAAAAAGGCUGUUGAUCUGUUCAAUUUCAAGAACCACCAGAAGGCUGUCACUAUUUCAUGAUGACAACCUUCAGGCCAGUUAAUUCGAAGAGAGUAUGCAUAAGUGGCCAAUGAAUUAUCUACUCUAAUACCAUACUACAAAUGAAUAUCAAUAUGAAACUGUGAACUGUAUAAGCAAAUGUGUCCUAGAUGCUAGAUGUGUUUGAAAGAAACUGUUAUAUAUAAGUACUCUCAUCUAAUUCUGACUCAAAAGAUAAAAGUCAUGAACAACAGGGUAGAACAUACAUCAUUUUUUAAGGUCUGCACAAAGCAAUCGACAGUACUCUUGUAAGCUGAGUCACCCAUCAUUCUUGACUUAACCUGCAGGAAGGUGUGUUCAAAGGUUGUGUUACCCCAACAGUGUAAAGAGAAACCAUGUUUGCACAUCUACAAUGCAAGAAUUCAACAGUACAGAAUACUUAAUUGAUAAUGACCAGACAGCAACGAAGAAGCUUCUAAUUGCACAAAGAAAGACGAACAUCCAGGUUUCAUAGAAAAACAGUCUUUAUGCAGGCAAAUUAGCAUUCAGUAGUCAUGGAUGCAACCACUAAAGUCAAAGGCAAAAAUCUGCAGAACGGCAGAACUACAAACCACACAAAGACAGAACGGCAGAACUACAAACCAUUGUUGAGUUACUCCAACAGUGUAAAGAGAAACCAUGCUUGCAUAUCUAUAAUGCAAGAAUUCAAUAGUACAGAAGACUUAAUUGUCGAUGACAAGACAACAAGGAAGAAGCUUCUAAUUGUAAAAAGAAAGACCAGGAUCCAGGUUUCAUGGAAAAACAGCCUUUAUGCAGGCAAAUUAGCAUUCAGUAGUCAUGGAUGCAACCAUUAAAGUCAAAGGCAAAAAUCUGCAGAACGGCAGAACUAUAAACCACACAAAGACCGGACUAAGAAAACAGCUAUGCGGAAAGACAAUGAAUACGUCAUGAAAUUGCAAGAUGUGAUGGGCAGAAUAAAGGCCUGUAGUGAAAUAUCUUAGUUUAAACUUGGAAUGGUCUACUAUUCACCAUCACAUACCACCAUUGCUGAUAUAAACUACUUGGUUUACUACCGAGUGGAUGAAUACACCAACAAAGCAUGGCUCAGAAGAAGUCAUUUACAGCUGGUCAUCUGGGUAAUAAUGUUUCAGACUAGAUCACUACAGUAGGGAUAGGAUAAUUGCUCACUGAGCAGAGCAGGGAGGACAUCUCACCACAUCGACUGGAGAACCAACACAAACAGCAAAGAAGCCAGCGCCCAAACCAGACAAGAUAUGAGUCACCACAUCAUCUUUGAACCCAGGAAGUUUCAGAAUGGUCUGCAACAAUAAGCGACGCAGUUUACGUCAGCAAGAGAGACAAGGAACCAACCAAUAAGAGACAUCAUGACAAGAAGCACACCUGCUUCACUUGAUCAUAGCUGGCCAACUCGGCAGCGUUGAUGAUGGCGUUACGUGCGACGUUCGGACCUAUGCCAGUCCACAAAGCGGCAACCCCUUCCUAAAGUAAAGACGACACAGUCAAACAUACAUAUAGAUGUUGAAGCAAGCAAUUCAGGAAAGUGUAACAGCAAUCCAGCAGUUGGCUAGAGCAGAAGGCAACAGACCUGCCUAACAAUCUUGGCGUAAGCAUCCAUUGCCCCAGCGUAGCGGCGCGGCAUGCCGGGCGCGAGCUUCCCCUCGGACUGAAGCCUGACCUUGACGAGGUCAGUGGGGUUGGCCACAGCGAUUGCAAGGGCACCUGAUGAACAAGAAGAAAAGCACGGAUGUCAGUGAUUAUGCUGCAUUGCAGUUGGAAGGAAGAAUUGGCUUGAUCGAGGGAUGGGGUAAGGUAAGCAACCAGUGGUGAAGCCAGCAGCGAUCUUCUUGGACAAGGGCACAUCCCCGACAUGGUUUUCCCCAACGUAGAAGGACUUGACCUGAAAGGAAGGGAAGCAAAGUCGGUCGCUGUCAGGCAGAGUUGAUUGUCUGGUAGCAGCAGCUAGAAUGGGAACGAGAUAGAGACAAGGGGGUUGGGGAAGAAGGGGAAGGAACGUACGGGCUCGUAGAGACCGAUGCGGAGGCCGCCGUAGAUGCACUGGCGGUGGAGGCCGGGUACGAUGCCCUUCCAGAGCGCGGCGGCCCCUUCCUCCCUGGCGAUGGUGGCGGCGGUGCCGAGCAGGCCGCGGUACUUGAGCCCCCCCGCGACGUCCCCCGCCACGGCCUUCUUCUGCAGCUGCAGCCUGACCUUGGCCGUGUCCAGCGGGAUGGUGGUGAUCUGGGCACACCAGGGAGAAAUCCCCGUGAGAUUCGGAAAUCCGAGCAAGGCAGGGAGAAGAAGAAGGAAGAAGGAGAUCCGGCGGCUGGUUGGGGUUUAGGGUUGGUACCUCGGCGAAGCAGGCGGCGAUGGCGCUGGCGGUGAAUCGGCCGGCGAAGGAGAUGUCGGGCUUGGAGCCGUGGUCCGGCGCCAUGGCUUCGGCUUUGCCUGGCGGUGGCAGCAAGCGAGAGGAAGACGGCGAUCAACUCGGACAGGGACAAGGAAGGCAGGGAGAGAGAGAGAGGAGAAUGGGGGGAAGAAGAAUCAAACCUCAAGGAAGGAAGAAAAGAAAAAGAAGAAAGCAGAGCAGCUUUCCUUUUGCGUUUGCGUUUGCGUUUGCUCUCCACGAAUUCUGGGCUGGCUUCUCUGCCUCUGGCUUGUGCUUAUUAAUUACCUGCAGCAGAGAGCAGAUUUACGGGCGAUUUUAUUCUGAUUAAGGAUCGAUGCGAUGAGUCAGAUGCGCAUCACCUUCUCAAUCCAUCCAUCCACUAGCCUGCCUGGCUGACUACUUACUACUAGCACAAUUUCCCUUCCUUUGAACUCUGCUGCUGAUGAUGAUGAUGUUGAUCAAUCCAUCCUGAGUCCUGAGUUCCUGAUUCAACGGUCUCCUCUGCAGCAGGCCUGCUGCUCCUUUCGUUGCCCUCUUUUUGCAACAAAGAGUUGAACACCUUUUGUUCAGAAACAGAAAAUCUUAAAACCUGAAACACAGUUCAUUUAGAUAUUGCUCUUCUUCUUUUUGGGGGUAGAGGCAGAACAAGAUUUUCAGGGGUUUUUUCUUUCUUCCAAACUAGCUAGCUAGCUAGCUAGUAGUAGUAGUAGUAGUAGUAGUUUUCUUCGUACAGACAAAGAGAUUGGCACCUUGGAAGCAAAUCAGGCAGUGCUUUUUGGCACAUGAUUUGGAGGGGGUGGUACAGGCAUGUCAUCCAAUUCCAAUUCAUUUGGUGCUACCUACUUGGCAGAAUAAAGGGGAGUGCAUAUGCUGCUAGCUGAUUUUGCUGCUGAAUUUCACUAUAUCUGUCCACCACAAAUUAAAAGGGCCCUACCACUCUUCUAGGGAGCUAUAUUCACUUAGCUGGUAACAAACUAAAGGUUUGUUCAAAUUGUUGUAAGUAAUAUUCUAAAUGCCACUUUUUUUUUCUUAAAAGCGUUGGUGAUAUUGAAACGUUGAUGGGCUAGUUACUGCUGAGAGAGAAUGCAUUAUGUUUCAUGGGCUGGACCAUUCUUUCUUUUCCUUCGUAUAGUGCUGAGGUAGGGGGGUUUUUUUGACAGGCAAGAGGGAGGGAUUUUUUUAUUUUUUUUUGAAAUGCAAGAGGGAGGGAUUUGUUACAUUGUUGUAAUCUGCAAAAUGAAAAAAAAAUGUUCCUCUAUUUCUUCUCUAUUUUUUUUGAGAAAUUCCGCUCUUUCUUCUUAAAAAGCUGCUGGUGAUACUGAAACAUUGAUGGGCUAGUUAGUGGUGAGAGAGAAUGCAUUAUGUUCAUGGGCUGGACCAUUACUUCUUUUCCUAGCAAGCCUGGCCCAUUCAUUCUCGCAGACAAUAACCUGUUUUCUUUUGACCAUCCAAAGUUCUACUUUUGGUAAAGCAAAUGUGGACCUUUGAAACUGGAGCACCAUCCUGCGUCACCGAAUAUUCCCUUCACUGGCCCAUGCCCAACACUUGGAACAUAAACUUUUGCACUCAGUUCCAUAUCAGCAAUCCUCAAUUCAUUCCGUUUCACCGUCAAAGCCUAGAUUCAGCUAAACAGUUCAGUAGCAGCUAUCAGUAUUACACUAGCAGGGCGUAACGCUGUCUGGCCGGCUAGCUAUUGUUGUCGCCGCUAAUAACACAGUACAGAUGAUUAAUUAAUAAAAACUGCAGAAACCAAAGGACCAGCUAGCUAGCUAAUCAUAUAGCUGCACACACACACGCACACAUACGGAUGCACCACCACACAGAAGAGAACAGAGCAGUUCAAUUUGUUGGUCACUGAUCCUGGAUCUGCCAUCAGUCAGAAAACUCAGAUAAACCUCAGUAGAUCUAGAUCAGACAUCGGCAAAGAGAUGGUACGUCUUGGAGUCGACGGCGAUGAGCCUGAGCGCGGCGAUGGCGGCGGCGACGGCCAAGACAGUGAACCCGACGACGUUGAACCAGUGCCAUGCCUUCCUCAGCGACGAGAGCCUGUGCCCGUUGGCCACCAGGUACAUGUGGUUGGCCAGCACGAAGGUCAGCGGGAACGUGCUGAGCGCCCCGGUCAGGCUCAUGAAGUCCCCCAGGAACGGCAGCGCCGCGGCCACCAGCGUGUUCACGGCCAGAUAGCCUCCCCUGACGCCCACCCUGAACACCACGUUGUGCGCCGCGAAGGGACCGCCCCGCCCGCUCCCAAACCUCGUGUCCAGGUACUCGUACAUCGGCGACGCAAAGAUCUGCACAUCGAAGAACAUAGAAACAUGAUCUGGUGAACUGGUUCUGUGCAUGAAACUCUUUACUUUUACUGGAAAAAAAAACUUGUAACAACAUGUGUAUAGAUACUUACGUGUAGGGCGAUGACGGUCUGGAGGAAGGCGGCGAGGUUGGCGACGGCCUUGACCCAGACAGGGCCAUGAACACUGUUGAGCAGAUAGCUGGACGUCUCGUUCCCAUAAGCCCAGUACCCAAUGAAAAUCACGGCAUACAACGGCACGGAACCGGCCGUGAACUGCAACCACAGCGCCUUCUCCAUGUUCUUCACCACAGGCGGCUUGAUCGUCGCCUGGAUCUCCGGCAACAUCCCGGUGUUAUACGCAAACACCAAGCUCGCCGAGGCCCCGAUCGUCGUGAACACCCGGCUCGACGGGUCCCCGGGGAUACUAUAAUCCCUCGCCGGCGCCCGGGCCCCGUCCCUCAACGCCAGCACGCACGCCGCCACGAUGUAGAUCAAGCUGAAGGCCGUCGAGAAGAGCAGCCAGACACGGAGCGCCGAGAGGUAAGGGAUGCCGACGGCGAAGAGCGUGCACACGAAGCCGGAAAUGACGAUGCAGUAAGGGAGCUUCAGGGCGCCGUCGUCGCGGAUGAGGAGGUAGAGGGCCUUGAGUGCCUGGCCGGCGAGGAUGACGAAGCCGAUGUUGAUCAUGAAGAGGUUGACGUACUGCAUCGCCCAGGUGACGCGGUACAUCCUGGCGCCGUAGAUGUGGCCGGCGAGGUCCCGGUACCGGAUGUGCCGCUUGCCGCCCAGGAGGUGGAGCUUGGCGAGGAGCGCGUUGGCGUACAUGGAGACUCCGGCGGCGAUGAGGAGCCCGAUGGCGCCGCCGAUCCAGCCCAGGGGCACCAUGAGGGAGCCGGAGUAGCCCAGCACGUAGGCGCUGUUCACCCCCGUCGUCAGCACGAACCCUGCCUGGUACCAUGGAUCUGUGAUAUGUUCAUCAUCGUCAGUUAGUUCAUCAAGCAGAUUGUUAAGCCAUGGAGAAUUCAUCCAGAUUGAAUCAAGUUAAGCCAUCCUAAUUUUUUCUUUUUCAGUUCAUCAAGCGAUUAGCAUGUCAAGUGGUCCAAAAUCUUGUUAGGUACAGUACUGUGCGAAAAUCUGCAUCAACGACUGACGUGACACGUGCACCAUCCUCCCCUGCUUAAUUAACAUGUGCUGCCUGGAGUAUCACUUAGUAGUGGGUUUAGUAGUACACACAAAAAAAAAGGAUUAAAGGAGUAGUACUAGUCCUAGAUACAACCUGGCUGAUGUGCUGUCAGUGAACAUGAAGUAUGUACUUUGGCUCCACACGGAAAGACAAAAUAGGUAUGUAUAUGUUGGCAGUAUGUAUCGUCGUCGGUCAAACCAGCUAAGCUAGCGGCCCAAAAACAGAGACGUUGGGGGUGACGCAAUGGUAACGGAAAGCCUAGGAAGCGUAUGGAUACAAUGGUUACGGCUCAAAUGAUUAGAAAUAUCCAAGAAAAAGAUGAAGAGAUUAUGAGCUCUCCUACGUCAUGGUGGCUCAUAGAUAGGAAGAUAAGUAGAUUGGUGGGUUCUCUAUGACUUGACCAACCUAAAAUUGAUGCACGGAUGGAUGGAUAAAGACGAUGGGGAUUAACAAAGAAGAACAGGAGACCAUGGUCGCCCUAAUUUCUUUUCAGAGGAAUUGAACAAGAAAGCAAGGAAGAAAGAAAGAACAAUCAGAUAGACUGAGAACACUGAUGAAUUAAGUAAUCAAUCAUCUGCAGCGUUUUGUAGGACGGACGGACGGACGUACCGACGCCAAUUUGGUGUGUGGUGUCAUCGGCGGAGAGAGGCAAGUCCUCCUCGUUCUUGGCGACGCCGUCUUCCACCAUGAACACCUUCGUCUCCGGCACCGGCUCCGGUGCCGUCAUGGCCAUGGCUAAUUACCUUAACAAGCAAGGAAUUGAGAUGGAACCGGAAUGGAAUUGAGUAGAGGUAGCAGGGCAGGGCAGGGCAGGGGAGAGCAGAGGGAGGAUGGGCAGAGGGGAGUUGAGGUGUGUUGUUAUUUAUAGGAGGAGAUGAUGGAGGACUGCGUGGUUUGGCAUGGCCGCCGACGACUAUAUCAAAUUAUUUAUUACAUUCCAUACAUGCGUGCGUCAUGUUUAUUUUUUUUUAUUAAAUAGUUACUCCAUGGCUAGCAGCUAGCCAGCUACUUCCACUUUUUCAUGCACAGGCAUUUUGAGGUUAAACUAAUUUUGAUCAACGAUAAGACCAAUGAUAUAUAUGUAGAGUCAAUGUUAUAAAUUUUAUAUCGUUGGAAAUGUUUUUCAAAUACGAAUCUAAUAAUAUAAGUUUUGUAAUACUUAAACCUCAAAACGUUAGUCUAAUUGUUGGUUAAAAUAAAAUUUUGAAUGUCUGUGUCAUCCUUUGUGGAAAGGAGAAAGUCAUUAAUUAUUACUCCCUCUGUUACUAAUUAAUAGGCGUCAGAAAUUUCGCAAAAGAACCUUUGCUAUUUUCCAAAAUCGACCUGCAGUCCAGUCCACGUUCUACCAAAACUUUUGCAAAAAAAUCACUGUAGUUUUUCAAAAUCAACUGCAGGUUGAUUUGGUAAAUUAGUAGAAUUUUUUUUGCAAAAAAUGAUUAGCAUCAAUUAAUUGGGAACGGAGGGAGUAUUUUUCUGGCUAGCCAGCUAAUGGAGUAUUAAUAAGCUUUUUUAUGUCUUGAUUUCAAUCACGUUUUCUUUUCUCCACGCGCACCGGAAUAAUAUAAAGAAAUUCACUGCUCCUUUUCCUCCCAUAAUCAGUCGCGAUCAGACGAAAAAAGAAAGCAAAAGAAAUACACUAGUACUGCUUGUAUAUGUACGAGAGAGACGCGCACUACUACUGGAGAGUAGUAGGACGCACUUGAAAUUGCAAUGCAGAGGAUCGAAGCCAGCAGCUCCAAGUACUGCCAGCCACCCCAACUGCAGUCCAAAAAUCAAGAAAGAAACAAAAACCAACAAACCGACUCUCUGCUCAUCCAUUGACCAGAAACAAUGCACUCUCUCUCCUUUUUUUUCUUUCAUUCUUGGGAGAAAAACAAAAUGAAGCUCUUAUCUUCAGGCUACUAGUAAGUCAGGGGAAAAUGGAAAGAAAAAGCAGAGCACACACAUGCAUAUGUAUCAUAUACGGCGUGUGUGUUAAUUAUUGUAUCAUAUACGGCGUGUGUGUUAAUUAUUGUACAUAUACGGCUGUAUAUACAGGCUAGGAAAAGAAUUAAAGCACAAUUUGUCUUGGGCCUCCAAUUCGAUUGGCUGGCCGGCCUCCGUCACGUCAUGUUCACGCAUCAACUUGCAGCAACAAGCAAUGUAUACAGUGAUAUAUAUAUAUCUGGAAUAUAAUGGCCAUGCUUCCAUCGAAUCCUAUAUGAUGAUGAGCUAGCCUAACUCUCAAUGAUUGAUUGAGAUUAAUAUUAUUCCGAACAAUAUAUCAAACUCGAUGCAUGAUUAAUAUUCCGAUCCAUGCAUGCACGCGAGAGCCUACCUAGCUAGCGGUACAUAUAAAAAGAGAGAAAUAUUCCGUUUUAUUCUUCAGAAAGUCGUACAAAGAAAAAGGUACACUAUAGACUAUAGUCUUUUACUUAUAUUAUAACGUGAGCGACUGGACUUUGCAUGUGUGCACACUGUACAGCUGCUACGUAGUAGCCCGAUUAUAUCGCUCUAAAGGUUUGGGAAUAAUCUCUUCUCCAUCUAAAGCUUUCCAAAGGAUUCGAAAAGGUGCAGAAGAAAGAUACUCCGUAUUAAACCUAACUUGCAAGAUGGGGAUGGGACUCACCAUUGCAUAAUUGUGAACUACAAAAUGGGCAGGCCGGCCCAUCAAAAUGCUCUAGCUAGAGGCAUUUUUAUGGGGUUAAUAAGUUAAAUAAUUUAAUUUACCCCGUAAAAUUUAUUUACCCAUUUUUUCUGGGGUAAAUAAAUUAAAUUAAGAUAAGAUAAGAAUGUAGUACCUAUAUAUACUCACUCCAUUCCUUAAUAUACGAUAUAUUAAGUUUUAAGACAAGGCUGUCCAUGUAUACUGCAUCCCAAAGUUUCGACGUUAUUGUGCGUGUCAGUGAGACGAUUUCCCACUUUCUGGUCACGUUCUCAUGUCGCCCAUUUCCCACGCAUCCCACAAGCUACCACAUACAUAUUCACAGGUAGAGAUACUACAAGCUAGCUAGUGAUCUCAUUCCACACAUAUUUAGUCUCAAUCGGUCACAUGAACAAUUGAUCGACGAUGGAGAUGCGCACGAUAAAAAGCCCUCCCCAAAGUGUUGAGUAGUGCCUUUUGUCCAUUCCACAAUUGCGGGCAGGCGCGCCAUGCAUUCGCGGACAUGCAUUGCAUGCACACACACACUACUGAACGACCAACCAACAACCUAGCGCAACCCAAUAUAUCUGCAUAUCUUAUUAUCACAUUGACUGGACUGCCCGACUAGGCUACUGAUUAGCUCUCUACUCAUUCCGUUUCAAAAACUAAGGCAGAUGACCUUUGUUGGCACAAAGUAAUUUGACCAAGUUUUGGCAAAAGAUAUUAACAUGAUGCCGUACUGUACAAGAUCAGUACACUACGAAAACGCAUUUCAUGAAAGAUCUGUUAUCGGUCCUAUAUAUUUUUCUGUUUGUGUUGUAAGUAAGAUUGGUCAAACUUUAGAAAAUUUGAUAUCGGAUGAAAUAAAAACUGGUGGAGAGAAAUUGUUUAGAAGAAGAAAACAAAUUAAUGAAGCUAGCCUCAUUUAGACUUAUAUAUACUUUUUCCGUCUGAUAUUAACUGAUUUGAAUUUGCCCAUCUAAUAUUUGGGCACUUAAUAUAUAAGUUUGCAUGAUGGAUCGUAGGAGUAGGUUUCUUUGUCUCUGUCGUUGUCUUUGUCUCUGGCUAGCUCGCAUGUGCGCCCAUACUCAGCGGUCAUCAAACGUGACUCAUGAGUGUACAUGUUAUUUCUUCCCUCUGGAACGUGCUUUGCUUCAGUAGAUUAUUAGAUUAGACCGUGCUGUCGAUUUUUGUCGUCCAUUCACUCAAUCCUUAAUUAAUCAUCACCGGGGCUAUAUACAAGUAGACAGGGGAAAACAUGCACGGAAUCGAUCUUCGGUACCAAAUGGAAGGAAGAAACGUGUUUAAUUUGUAAGCCCGAAUGCUAAAGCCCAACGACCACUACUAUAGCUAGUUUGACGCGACGGCGACAACUGGUAGGCCCAACCCACGACAUGGAAGCCCAUGCACCACAUACACACAAAAACAGGAUGGGUAUUUUCCAACCGUCCAUCUUGACUUGGAGCCCCGACACAUGCCAUAGGAGAUAUAAGCGACAAUUAGCCGGAAUUAUUUCUUUUUAACAAAUCAAUCGUUGGAAUGAUUUUUAUAUAAAAUAAGUUCCAAAAGAAGCUAACUUGAUAUAUCGGUCCAUUGAUCUCUCAUCUUACCUUUUCAAAGAUACAUCAUCCAAACGGCUCAAGCAUUUUUUGUAUCAGAUAGACAUUUAACACCUUUCGGUGCUGCAAGGGAACGCAACCUAGCUAGCUGGCCAGGGGAGAUGCAAGCCGGACUCAUGGACAAUCACACAAUGGUGGCAAUGGCAUCGUAUAGACAGAUUGUUGUCAUCUAGCUAGCUAGAUAGUGAUCGCUGUCCAUAAUUCUUGUCUUAAAUUUGUUAAAAAAAUAGAUGUAUCUGUUUUCAAAAAACUCUAUAUACAUGUAACAUUCUGAUAAGAACUAUCGAACGGAAGAGGUACGUAAUACAAGAUAUAAUAUACUCUUCUUGUUUUUAAAUUCUUGUUGUUGUUUUAAUUCAAAUUGAAACUUAAUAACCAUCGAUAAAUCGAGACGAAGACGAGAGGCACAUACCAGCUCCAAUCUGGUGCGAGGUACCAUCGGCGACAACAGGCUGCAGAUUGUCCUCUGCAUCUUCCCCAUCGUUCUUGUUCUUGGUGACGCCGUCCAACACGGUCACCUUCGUCUCCGGCGCCGGCGUGGCCAUGGCGAUCCUUCUAUCUGGCUGCCAAGAAAGGUAGCUUGGGAUAUAUCGAUCGAAAUGGAGUUUGGAUUUGGAGAGAGCAGAGCAGACCGCCGGUGAGAAAGAGGAGCCAGCCAAGGAGAGAGUCGUCUUCUUAUAGGCUGUACAUGUGGAGUCAUCGAUACUAGACUGUAGAUGACUACUGAUUUUUUUUUGGGUCGCCCUUGUCGUCGUCAACAAAUCAUAUCAAUUAAUUUAUUUUUAUUUUGUUUCCAUAUGUCUGCCAACUCAUUUAAUUAUUACUACUACACUUAUUUCUAAGACUAGCCAGACACGUUUUCUUUUCUCCACAUACGUACAUUCCAUUACAACACACCUGGCUAGCUAGCUACUCCAGGUGGAAUGGAAGGGAAUUAAUGAAGACUGCGUUCGUUAUUUUUGGGUUUUAGGACCGCCUUUUCUUAAAAGCUGUUCUAACCUAACUUUCAGGAGGAGUCGUAUAUCAGAUUUAGCUAGAUUUUUAAAAUAGUUUAAAUCAAACUAGCUUAGUAGCCUAAUCCAUUUUAGAUGAAGGCAUCUCCAGUAAGCUGUGGAAGGACAAUUUCUCGGAAAAGCCAGUUCAAGAAGCCGAAAAGAACUGACCUGUUAUCAGGUUAUCAGGGAUAGUCUAACACGUAAAAUUCGCCGCUGCAUGCUUUUUGAUCCGAUAAUAUAAUUGGUCUCAGUCAGAUGGAAAGGAAUCAAAGACGAAGUGAACUACUAUAGUAGUAUAGUGGUACUGUGAGAGAGAUGCGCACUUGAAAUUUGUCCGGCGGCUUUGAUCAGAUAUGCAGAGUCGUACGCUCCUAAAAGGGAGAGGAUCAACAUAAGAUCAGCCUCUAAUCGUGACGGCUUUGAUUCCAUUCCUGGCAACGGAUACUGCCACGCAACUGCAAUCCAAACCCAAGAAAGGAACUGCUACUGGCUGGCUACCAGCGGAUUUAGGAAAACAAAAUGAAAAAGAAUGUAUAUUUAGUACUUGUCUCAAUUUUGACUAAAUUUGAAUGCGUAUACACUAAGUUAUGUCUAGAUAUAUUUAAAUUUUGAUAAACUUGAGAUUUCUUUUAUUGAACGGACGAGGUAGUAGGAAUUAAAUUCCUCGGCGACCAAUCAAAAUUCCUUCUACAGUAUAUAUCUCGUUCCUAAUGCUAAUCUCCAAGCUAGCCAGGACGGGAGAAAUGGAAAGGGAUAUAAAACUGGCCGGCGUGUGCACAUGAUUCAACUGCCCGUGUCCAAUUCCAUUCUGUUCUAUAUAUUUACGUGUUAACUACUUAUACAGGGGGGCUUGCUUGCUCUAUCUAUGCAACAUAUACAGGAGUAGCUAGGAGAACACAAUUUUGUCUUUGUGUCUCUAGCUUGUCUGUCCGGGUGUGCGCCGCGCCCAUACCGGCGCCCCUCAUUUUUGUACCUUUUCUGUUUCCUUAGAAAAAAAAACUUGAGAAAUCUUGUAAUCUGAUUUGGGACUGCUUACCUCCCUGGGGAUUUUGGGGGCUACAAAAGCGUGUUGAAACCUUUUGAAAUCAAUAAAUCUCCAUGUGGUUUUCAAAGUUAAAUUCCUUGGAAAGCCUGUCAGGAGUUGUUGAAAUUUAAUUUCCUCGUCAAAAUUUGAGAAGGUUGUCCUAGUUUUUUAAAGCUAUCCAUAUAAAGCUCUACCCAAGAUGAUAAUUUUUUUUCGUUAAUUAACUGGACAACUAUAUUCCUCUUAAUUAAUAGAUGAAGUCCUUCGGUCUCCAGUUUGAAAAAAAUUUGAUAUUUUUCAAGUUCCUAAUUUCAGUGUCCGAAAUCUCAUACGGAUAUAAAGUCGAUGGUAGCUUGUUUUUAAUUUUGUGUAGCCAAGACAAAAAAAUAUCAGCUAUAACUAUAAGUCGGGACCAACUCUUACUCUCCACCCUUCUCCUUCGCUCGGAAAUUAUUAUUUUUCCGAAAAUCCUCCACGGAGCAAGCUGUAAAUCAACAGUAUAUACUUUUUCUUCAAAAUAAUUGUAGCCAUAUUAAUUUCUUGCUAAUUAUAACAAAGAAAAAGUCAUGGAGAAACGCGAAAUGAAUAUUCUGAUGCAUAUGAGUUAGUGGCAAUCCUAUAAGCGUGUAUAUAAAAGGAAUAUAUAUAUAUAUAUAUAUAUAUAUAUAUAUAUAUAUAUAUAUAUAUAUAUAUAUAUAUAAGGAAAAAUCGGAGUUCUCCUUGAGAAGAAAGUGGUGCAAGCUAGAAAAGGUGUGUAUAUACACAUCGGUCCGAAAAGAAGCUUUACAUAUAAAAUUAAGUGUGAGCGUAGAGGACUUUUGCACACAGACGCACUCUAGUCAGUCUUGCACGUAGUACAAGUAGCUUUUAGUGGGAAUCUGCUUUGGAAGAAUUUCAAAAAGCAUCCAUCCGUUCCGGGAAAGAAAUAAAGAAGAAAGAAAGAGUGUGGGACAUGCAGGAGGACUUGCAAAAUGAAAAGGCCUGCUGAUGAUACAAGGCACGUUACACGCUAGAAAACGGGCCAAAUGUAUGCAUGAAUGCUGGCCGCAAUAUGAGUGCACAUACAGAUAAUGUGUCCAUCUCGCGUUAAUUGAUUUUCUGCAUGACAUAGAGAUGGUACAAAAAUGUGUACGAAGGCGGAAGAAAAUUAAAUCAACAGCAAUAUAUUCUCCUCCCGAUCCAUAAUAAUAAAUGUCGCUGAUUUAGUAUAACUUUGUAUAAGUUAAGUUAACGAGGAAAUUUCUGCCUACUGAUCGAUAUAACACUGAUAACGAAAUAGUGAGUAUAUCUACAGAUGCGAUAGACAUGAUCGGUGAGCUAAGGGCAAUUCGGAAUGGGCGGCCGUGGCCGUACGUAUAUAUAGACAGAUCAUAGUCGAUCAGAUCUCUCUGCUCCAGAGAUGAGGAAGAGGGAUUGCAAACGAUGAUAGAAACAUAUAUACAUGAAUGGUUAAUUAAUUGAUGCGCCUUAUAGACGUAUAAUUAGGGAAGGUCGUUAAUUACUUACCGAUGCCAAUCUGGUGGGCGGUCUCAUCGUCCAGGAUGAUCUCAUGGUCGUCCUCCUCCUCCGUCAGGGACGCCAUUAUUAAUCUGAUCUCCUCCUCGAUCUUGAUUAUUUGAAUAGUUUUCCAGAAAGAUUCUCUCUAGCAGGACCUUUGAUUGAUCUCUAUGGGGCGCCGGCUCUCACAACUCAACUCGAUCCCCAUUGAUGCAUCAAGGAUGGAUGCAUUGUUUAAUUUUUCGCGGGUUUGGGUUUGGGAGAGAAAGAAAGAAGAAAAAAAGAUGAAGGAAUGCUGCAAAUGAAAAGGUCCGGGAAUGAAUAUAACCGGUCGUGGACUGGGUCAAGAUCAGGGAUCGAUGGAGAGGCAGAUUCAUAUGCAUGGAUGCAUGAAUUCAUUCAGAGGCCCUGCACUCUCUCUCACUCAGCCGCCCCAGCAUCCGGCCGGACAAGUAGCUAGGCCGGCCUAACCCUACCCUCAUUCAUCGGAGCCUAAGUGUUGUGCACUUACUUAGUUGCAUCACAUUCAUAUAUAUAUGCAUAUAUAAUCGAUCCAUCCAUAAUCCAUCCAUCCAUCCAUCACGUCUUGUUGUCGCCCAUUUCCUACGCAUCCCACGCCACGCCACCACGUGCAUUGCAUAUAUAUACUGAUCAUGACUGUGCUAGCUGAUCUAUAGCAAAAGCCUCUUAAAUCCCAUGUCUACACACACACGCACGCACGCAAUUAAUCAGAUCAGAUCAGAUCAGAUCAGAUCAUCUUAAUCUUAUCCGAGACCCAUCAACUAGCUAGGGGGCUUAGUUACCUUGUUCAUCUUGCAUUGCAUGCAUGUUUCACUAGUCAUAUGUACCUCGCAAAAAUAAUAAUAUUGUGGUGUCUAUUCUGUCCCCUAUCCAAAACCACCACUAAUCCUUACUCCUUUUUCUUUUUUCAUUUCAAACGGCACACCGCAAAACUAGGCCCAACCCACUACAGACCGCCUUGAGGCCCAACCAUAUCCCCCCAGGAGAGACAAGGCCGUUCUUUGGGACUCAGGAGUAUUAUAAGGCUGGGCCGAAAGUAACACCGGAGGCCUGUGAAGAAGCCCAGGCCCAACAGUAAGGCCGAGAAUCGAAGCCCACACGAUCUCUCUCCUUUCUCUUUCUCCUCAUCGGGUUGGGGAAUCGGGGAUUUCUUCUUCCUUCAUCUCUCUCUUCUGUCCUCUCGUCGCAGGAAUCCAAGCUUAGAGAGCUCUUCCCCUUGUCUCGUCGACGGCGAGGUGCAGGCGGGAUUCAUUCAAUCCUCCCAGCCAUGGCAGCGCCGGCGCCGGCGCAGCACAGGGAAGCUGAGGAGGAAGCGGAGGAGAUGGCGGGCGUGGUCAAGCUCAUCAGCGCCGAGGGUUUCGAGUUCUUCGUCGACAAGAAGGCCGCCAUGGUCUCCAACACCCUCAGGAACAUGCUCACCUCCCCUGGUUCGGUCCCUCACCCAUCCUCUCCUCGAUUCGAUUCCUCGUACGAUCCAUUGAUCCGACCGGCCGAUCUUGCUUCGAAGGUGGCUUUGCCGAGACGCGCGAGGGCGAGGUCAGGUUCCCGGAGAUCAGCACCGCCAUCCUCGAGAAGAUCUGCCAGUACUUCUACUGGUCGCUCCACUACUCUAGGUAAGCGAAUCCCUCUGAUUCACCUUUCCCCUCCUCCGCACACCCAGAUUAUUAUCCAUCGAAUAGUUUGUUUUGGGAGGAUCAGAUAGCUUAAUUGCUUAACCUAGCUAGUCCCUGUCAAUAUAUCAACCCCAAUUACAUGAUCUCUCUCUCGGUCACGAAACGAUAAAUUUGGAUGCCUGGGACAUGCACUUGUUUGUCCUUAACCAAAUCAAAAUCAUCCCCCUGAAUUUAUUUACCAAUUUAUCUUCAGAGUGUGCACUUUUGAAACCUUAAUAACAUCUGUAUGGUUAGACUACCAGUCCGUCUGCUAUUCCCCUGCUUAUCUGCUGUUCAUGUUCGCGGCACACUUGUUUUUUUGUUUAAUUUGCUAAAAGCCUAGUGUAUAAAUGUCCAGAAUUAAAGAAGGUGACAUAGAAGUUAUUUUCUCUCUGUGAUAAACUAAGGUCUUAUCUAUGUGAUUCUUUGACUAAGAUGAAGCAAAUCAAAUGUUUAUUAGUUUUCUUGUGAAAAGAAGGGAAUUUCAUUGUUCUAUGCUCUGUUUCAGAUGUUUGAGGAAAAUUCUCAUGUAGCAUUCAUUUAGACUACGAUAUUUAGGGGCGAACAUACUCCAAUGUAUUUCAACUUGCUUCUCCCUUCUAUGGUUCAUUAAACAUGUCCAGUGGUUAGAUCUUAUGAACCUUGGGAAUUUUAUCUUACUAGUUACGAUACUAAACCAGCAUUCAGUCCAUGAUUCUUCCUUACAAUUUCAGUGCUUUGUGGAAUAUAUCACACGACUUUGUAACAACAGAUAUCCAGGUCUUUACCAUCCUGGUAUCCACCUUACGCACACCAUGACUUGUCUUUCCUGUUUGUUUUUACGUUGCUUCUCCAUGCUUUUACCUUUCAUGUUUAGUUAGCAGGUUACUAGCCAUGCAUAUUUCGGAUUUAGAGGUGUUAUUGCUACUCUAAGCUAAAUAUGUCUUCUUGGAUAGUUUUGUGGUGGCAGAGCAAGAAUAUUAACUGUUUGUAACCUCAUGUGUCCUAGUCCUUGAACCUUCCUUAUUGCUUGCUGCUUUGAUGACCAACCUCUCCAUUCACGUGUUUAAUCAAUCAUUUUGAGUGAGAGUCAUUUUUGGUUCUGAAACAAGUGCAGCUGCUAUGCAUCAAUUGUGUGGAGUCACACCUUACACCAGUACACCAAUAAUGACAAACCAGCUACAAAUGCAGCUUCUACACCGAGCAACCAAUGGCAUACUGUCUAUACCACCUUAGCCACUGCUCUACUCCAGCACCAAUUGGAGUGAUCAACAUAUAACUGGACAGUAGUUCAUUCCAGAAACUGCAAGGGAGGGUAGCUUUGGUUUUGUGUUUUCCUUGGUUGUCGUGUUCUGUACUACAGGGUUUCUUCUUUAUAGAGUUGUACUGAGGGGUUCUUUAUAGAGGUAGGGGCUCACCAGAUCCAGAUUUACAUAGCUUGAAGAGAACAUAUUGGUUGACAGUGUUUUUAGGUUGAAGAAAUCACAUGCCAGGAGAAAAUAAAUUGUGCUCCAAUAUCGACCAACAGGCUAACAGUUGCUACUUCUUUUAUAUACAUAUAUAGUUAGUACAGAGAGUCAGAGAAUACAUAAUCCUUGAACUUGGUUCUCUGUUUAAAUCAGGUACUGAAGUAGUAGAUUCCCGUAUUAGAAUGCCUGACAAUUUUGCCACCCUGAAAAUAUGUACGAUUAAUGGACUAUGUAGCAGAAAAUCUACUGUGCGCUAUUAGUUUUGGCAAGGAAAGGAUGGAUUUAGUUGUUGUUGAUGAAAUCUAGCUUUGUUUUGUUUCUUUUGUAGUGGGAAGGAGACGGCCGAGUUCCCGAUCGAGCCAGAAAUAACCCUGGAGCUGAUGAUGGCCGCAAACUAUCUCGACACAUGACGAAUCUAUCCAUCGAUGCAUUUGUGUUUAGUAGAAAGGAAAAUGUGAUGAUGUUGCCUACCUUGUAUAAUUUUGAUUUGGGUCAAGUAAACAAUUAAGCUUGUUUGCGAUGGACACAGCACACGGCAGGUAUCUGUGGUGACUGACUGUCAACUUGCUUGCUCGCGAUCAGAUCUGGUCACUUGUAUGAUCAAUUGGACUGGAUUGGAUUAGGUCGCCAUCAGUUGCAGGGCCACAUGUUGCUUGUUUGUUUCUACUGCAUGCUAUAAGCUCUAGCAGACAGGAUCAGCUGGAAUGCACCUGUGUUGACCAGCCAGCGCAUACUUUGGCAGAACUAAAAGAACUUCAUUAAUUUGCAAAAUGCACGGGGAUUGGAUUGGGUGGCAACGGUUUGUUGGAUCGCCCUGGAGAUAAUGUUUUUUUAGGAAUUUUUAGGUUACAUAUACUUGGUUGGAAGAGAGAAAAUUGCGUUUGAACCUGUAAUGAAAAGGUUAGUAGUGCUUGUGUUUUGUUUUCUCCAAAGCUAAAACUGGUGGGAUAGUCUCUAUCCUAAGAAAUACUUAUGGUGCAACCACAUUGAUCCAAAUGGUAAAGAGAUAUGGACGUUUCCUUGAGGAAGAUUAUGGCUCACGUAUGGGCGUUGAUGUCGAAAGAUGUAUGGAUUGGGAAGAUGAUGUUAGCCCCAUAUGAAUAAACAGAUCCAACUAAACCAUACUCGAAAAAUCAAUUACACGCCAUCAGAUCAAUACCCUCCGUGUCAUCCUAACAUUUAGAUCCACUCUAAAGAAACCCUUAUUCAUCCAUCUUUCCAUAUUACUCUCUCUGUUUGGGUUUACAAGAUCUCUGCGUAUUUCCGUCGGUCAAAUUGAUGAUCUAAGAACGGUCGUGACUUUACAACAGAGAGAUGAAGGGGAAGGGCAGAAGAAGAUGGAUGUAGUAGUACUUUCUUUAGUUUAAGAUUAGUUGGUAAAGAAAGAGAAAGGAAAUGGAUCGGAAACGGAAACCCCACACACACGUGGACGCAUCUAGUCCCCACUCUACACUUUGAUAGUUGAUACAUACACAAACACAAAGCAGGCCAGGACAGAAGGCUUCGAUCCAAGGAGAAGGCAGAGGCUAGGCGGCCAGCGACAAGAAAAGAUUCCUUCUUUUCCCCCAUCCAUCCAACCCCUCCGUCGCCGGCCGGCGGCGAGCCCCCCACAAUGGCGGCCGCUUCCCCCCUCGACUCCGCCUGGGAGGUAUGUGUCCCCACUGAUCUCUUCUCCCAACCGUCUCUAUCUGUGUAUAUCUGACGGACGGAUCUCUGUGUCGCCGUCGCCGGCGACGAAUGCAGUGCCUGAUCGACAACUUCAGCGAGUUCCAGCUCGCCACCGUCGUCACCUUCCUUCUCCACGAGAGCGUCUUCUUCCUCUCCGGCAUCCCCUCCCUCCUCUUCGAGCGCUUCGGACUCUUCGCCAAGUACAAGAUCCAGGUCUGCCCCCCCGCCUGCAUCACACAUCCGUUGAUCUGAUGCAUUUAUGAUCUAUCUGGUCGAAUGUGUGCGUGUAUUGAUUUCGACAACACAAGAAUAAUUUCAUGGUGGAUGGGACAUCAGUCACCGAGAUAGUCAGAGAGGAAACAUAACCAGACCUUUCUCUGACCUAUCAUUGUGGAACUUCGCUUUUUUCUUCUUUCUCUAACGUGACAAGGAUGACAGUGUCAACAAGAAAGGGAGAUGCAUCUAACUUAUCUCAAAACUGACGUGGACCAAAUAAGAGUAGGAAACACUCCUUUUCAAUUUGCUUUCGUUGUCAUGUUUGAGAAACACCUUAUGCCUCCCGUCCAAAUCGAAUUGCCCGCCCCGAGACGACACGGAAAAUAAGGAAUGCGGAAGCACUUGGUCAGAUGGCUCACCUAAACUAAAAAGCUGGUUGCUUUUCACUGGAUGCGAUCAACACUGCUUGAAUCUUUGCAUAUCUCGACCGAUCUGUUAUAUAAAUUCCCGCCCGAGGUGACAAAUCCUUGGAACACAAAAAUGCUUUAAUGCUAACAGACAAAUGUCUAGGCUUGCAAGAAAUACGUGAAGACGUAGAUUUGUUCGAAUCCAGGAUCAAAUCUCUAUUGAGAAAAUCACAUAGUUAUAUGUUGCAGCUACUAGAUAUUAUACUAAUUGGACUACUGCUAUAGGAAACUCACACCACGCUUUCAGUAUUCAAUAUACUAAUUAGAUUACCGCUAAUAGGAAACGCACGCCACACUUUCAAUAAUCAAUAUAAAUGCCCUGCUGCAAAUUUAGAUAAUCUUUACUGUUCUUUUUGGCACUAAGAAAUAAUCCAAAUUGCAGGACCUACCGUGCAUGCUUUUAGAGUAAACCAGUUUUACAGUACAAUUUCUAAGAACAUUAGUUUUUUUUAUUUCUGUAUUAUAUUAUGUAUUGGAGAUAUAUGGUCCUGUUUUCUGUAUAACAUAGCGUACAUUUUCGUUGGAGUAAAUUUAUCCCAACAAGCUGAUUCUGGGUAUCAUCGAGUCAAUCUGAGCCUCCAUUUGCUUGUUUGGAGCAUGAAAUGUUUCUUGUCAGUGCCUUGUUUUUCUCUUUCUUUAUAAAGUAAAUCAUCCAUGUGAUUCUGUAAGAGAUCUUGUAAUGCUUAAGUUUGGUUUCAGUAAUGGAAGCAGUUUAUCCUCCUGGCUCUUAAAGAACAGACAUGUGAAUGGUCUUGUCCCAUUUUACCAUGCGCACCUUGCAAUUGUAUUACUCGAAUGGUUUGUGGCGCUUAUGCCAUGCUCUGGGUCUUGUUAUUGAUGUCCAUGUUAUCGAAUUUACUUUACUCCGAGCGAUCUAUCUCGUAGUGCUUGUUAUCGAUUUUGCUCCCAAUUCCUAGUUUUCUACUUUCCAGUGCGUGCCAGUUUAAUUUGCUCUUUAUUAUUUUCUGUUGUGAAAUAUUUGGUUCACUGGAACUAUUUAAUUCGGUGAAUAUUUGUGCGUACCUUGCUGCCAGCCUGCGAUACUUGGUUUCCUAAACAAGAAGUGUGCACAUAUUUGCAGAAGAAGAGCAACGCCCCUGCUUACCAGAACAGAUGUGUGCUGCGUCUCAUUCUAUACCAUGUCGGUGUGAAUUUGCCAGUCAUGAUUUUCUCCUAUCCCGCCUUUAAAUUCAUGGGGCUGAGAAGCUCUCUUCCUCUGCCACACUGGUAUUAAAUUUAAUUCCCUCUUUCUUCCUUUCAACAAAAGUAUCCCACCUACCAGUAUUCUUUCUUCUCAUCUAAGAAUGUCUCUUGAGGCAGAAGGAUAACCGAAAUGAAAGUUGUCUAAUCGCUAAUGCUAUCUAUGUGGCUAUGUUGAUGCAGGACGGUCAUUGUAUCUCAAAUUCUUUUCUAUUUUGUACUUGAGGAUUUCAUAUUCUAUUGGGGGCACAGGGCUCUGCAUACCAAAUGGCUAUACAAGCAUGUCCACAGUGUCCACCACGAGUAAGUGAUACUGCUUCACAACCUCUUAUUUUGACAUGCUAUAUCAGCUUGGGAUCAUUCUAAUUUUUAACACGAUAACCUGUGAGCAGAUAUGCUACACCAUUCGGCUUAACUUCGGAAUAUGCGCACCCUGCUGAAAUUUUGUUCCUGGGAUUCGCCACGAUUGUUGGCCCUGCCCUGACUGGCCCUCAUUUGAUCACUCUAUGGCUGUGGAUGGUGUUGAGGGUGUUGGAAACAGUUGAAGCUCACAGUGGGUAUCACUUCCCAUGGAGCCCAUCGAAUUUCCUUCCACUGUAUGGAGGGUAAGUGAGCGAGAAUUCGGAAAGGUGCAUUUUGUCCAUUCAGUAGGUUGCAUAUAACAGUGUUCUGAAUUUCUCCUUAUGGCCAGCUCUGACUUCCAUGACUACCAUCACCGUGUUCUCUUCACCAAGUCAGGAAACUAUGCGUCUACUUUUGUUUACAUGGACUGGUGAGUAUGUUUGUCUUCCAUUGUUGUGUUAUUUGUUGAACCAUGGCUUCUGCUAUGCAUGACAUGCAUCUCCUUCCUUCUUCUUGUGCUAGGUUGUUUGGCACGGAUAAAGGUUACCGCAAGAUAAAGGCCAUCGAAGGGGAAGAAGGGAAGCAUUUGUAAAUUGUGGAAGCUACUCUUUUCUCUCUUAGUCGACUUAUCGAAGCUAGUUUUUGAUCUGUUGUAUUGGUGAUAACAUUGCUCUGAUGGGACGAGACUGGCGGCAUCUUGAUCCAAGGCACAGGCAUCAUUUGAGGCCAUGGAUCCUACAUGUCGUGUCUUUCUUUCUCCCAUAUUUGCUAUCAUGAUAAGAUCAUGUAAUUUGUGGUGAAUUAAAUCUUUUGUGUGCUACUGGGGUUUGUUUGGAGACGUGGAUACACAUCCCAGAGCACAAGUACCUAUUUGAAGCAGCAACAACUUAUCAGAUUAGUUUUGCAAGUCAAGUAAAUAACUGAGAUGUGAUUUGUUGGUUAUGAGUACUGUUUAGUUGUGCCUCUCUUUUUUCUGUCACUUUCCCUUGUAAAUUCAUAUGGCAUUGAUUGCACCUUUCAAAGGAUGCAGAUGAAUACUGACCAUUGCCAUCAUUUUGAAGCACCUGAAUCUGACUGAAGAACAAAACAUGGUCUGCAUUGCAUUGCAGCUAGGGACAUCUGAUACAACAUCUGUUUACUUCAUAUAUGUUUGCUUUUCUCAUAGCUUGGCUGCUAUGGUGCGUCCGCCGUCGACGCAGAUGACCUGGCCGGUGAUGUAUCCGGCGCCGGGCAUGCAGAGGAAGGCGACGAGGGCGGCGACCUCAUGGGGCUUGCAGAAGCGGCGCAUGGGCACCCUUGCCGUCUCCAUCUCGGCGAGCCUCCGUGCCAUGUCCGGGUCUGUGGCGAGCGUGUUGGCGGAGAACUCGGUUUCGACGCCGCCAGGGGCGACGCAGUUGACACGGAUGCCUUGCGCCGCCCACUCUGCAGCGAGGCUCCUGGAGAGCUGGUGCAUUCCCCCCUUGGUGAGUGAGUAGACGGAGAGCGCCGGGUAGGCGAUGAAGCCGGUGACGGAGGACAUGUAGACGACCGAGGACGCCUUGGCAUGCCGGAGCAGCGGGUGCGCGAGCUGGGCGAGGUGGAAGCAGGGGUCGAGGUUGAUGGCCAUGAGGCGGGCGUAAUCGUCCGGCGUGGUUUCGGCGGCGGGCUUGUAGAGUGACUGGCCGGCGUUGUUGACGAGGAUGUGGAGGUCGCCGUGGAAGAGGCCGCGGACGGUGUCGACGAGGCUCUCCCUGUCUGCGCGAACCGAGACGUCGCAGACGGAGGCGGUGAUGUGGUGGAGGCCCUUGCUCUGCCAUUGCCGGCGGCAUCGGUCAAGGUCGGCGGCGUUGCGAGAGCAGGUGUGCACCCUGGCACCGAGGGCAGCUAGCUCCUCGACGAUGGCGUGGCCGAUCCCUUUGGUUCCUCCGGUGACCAGCGCCGUCUUGCCGGCCAGGCUCCACCGGAGCUUCUCUGAAGAAUCAUCCCUUGCCAUCGGUAUCAGCUAUAAUCAAGAUGGUUUUGGGUUCAGUCCACCUCCAGCAGCUAUGCAUGGUGGCUAAGCUAUAUACUCUGUUUGUGUGAUUGUCUUGUUGCAGAGCAUAUGCUUACCUAGGUAAGUUACUAUAGUUAGUUAGUAUUGGAUUCGCCACCCAACGUAUUUACACAGACAAGGAACAUAGAUAAUUUCUAGGCAGGGAUGGGUCCUUUUUGCUUUUAGUCUUCUGUUUGCUGGCCGAUGAAAUCUUUAAUUAAGAGUGUGCAUGCUUGUUGGUGAACGUCUAAGUUUGUAUUUCUUUCGAACAAAGAAAAAUAAGCCGCUCUACAAGAAAGUACUAUCAUUUUCGGUGCUGCGUACACACAGGAGAAAUUAAAAGAUAUUAACAUCUACUAUACCAAAUCAAUAACUAACUAAUUGUCUUGCUAGCUAUACAAUUUCUCUCAUAUUUAGGGUGUACUAAGCACAUAGAGAUGCAGAUGCUAGCAGCUCAAAGUCCCGUAAAAAAUUAAAAAAAAUCAAUAACUAAGCAGCUUUUUUAGCUUAUAGCCAAGGCCACAUGCAUACAAAUGACCAAGCAUCAGCAUCUGCGCUUGUUUUACGGAGUACACUUUCAUAGAUGCAUCAUGUGGGGCCAUAGAGAUAAACGUCCAUGCUGGCGCUUAAUUUGUCCAUUAAUUAUUAAUCAUUACUGUACAUGAAAUGGAACUGCCACAUUUCCAGCACAUGCAUGCAGAUCAGCCAGGCAGGCUAAUAACACAUGGCACAUGGGCAUGGAAUAAGAAUAAUUCGAUUCAAAACAGUAACACACGACAUAUAUGCCCCUGCCCCGGCCACAGUGCAAUGCUCUGCUUUUUUGGCCUUAUAUAUAGGCAACAGCUCCAUCUUGAUCCUUAAUUUGUCAUGUCCACAUUAAUUUGAGGGAGAGCAGUUGGGCUUGGGAUGGGCGAGCACGCUGGGAGUAAGAAGAGGCUUUGUUGGGCCGCCAACCGUGCAUGGUAGUAGGCAUUAUUCAUAUGGAUCAGUGUAGAGCCUGGCCAAUCAUGCAGGCGGAAGGAGGCCCAAUUGGGUUGUUUUCCUUUUCAAUGUCAACAUUAGAUCACCUGAAUGCCCUCAAAAAAAAAAAGAUCACCUGAAACCAAUGCGGUCUUCUUCAUCUAAAAAAAUAAAAUAAAAUGCGGUCUCAUUACCAGGCUUGGUAUGACUGAAACAGUCCAUGCAAGGAUACAGGCAGCUCAGUCCUCCAGGUUCCUCAAUCAAGCAGGCCGCUUGCUGCCUGUUAACUCAGGUUUUACUUCCUUUACCAACAUAAUACUAUGUGUACCAUACAGUUGCCCACAUGGGUCAUUGAGCAAAUUGACAGGCAAGGAAAGGUUGUCCCAGGAGAGGCCAAGAUGUAAGCAAAAAGAUGGAAACCUUGCAGCAAGGGACAUGGUAUGGAGGCUCGAAAGUAAUUAAUCUGAGAUUGCACAACAAUGCUCUUCUCCGUACACAAGUGCACAAAUUGCUGGAUGUUGACCAAACUUGCAUAACUUCCUAGUAAAUAAAAAUAUAUAUUAUGCAACCAAGGCAGGGCCGCACUGAACCAAAGCAUGAUACUACAAGUAGUACAUGUACAUUACAACUCCACCGGAUGAUAGGGGGCACAUGAACAUACUGAAAGAACGACCGAAAAAUAUAUCCGCUUUACAAAUGAAUUAGGAACAAUAAUGAAUGUACAAAAUUCUUGCAACACUUUCACUGCACGCUACAACGAAGCACUUUCAAUUCAGAUAAUACAAUCAAUAAGUGGAUUCCAAAUUGUGAACAGCAUAGAUAUAGCAACGAUAUAAAACACUGACCAUUAAAAAUUGACUGCUUAUAAUAUAAUUGCUUCAAUGCAAGCAGGCCACUUCAGAUAGUGAAAUAUUAUUGGUUUAACCAACUAUGCGCUCAGUAGCCAGACAAUAUUAUACCUGUUAAACUGCGAGCAACAAAUACAGUACAAAAAGCAGACAUGCACAAGUGACAUCAUACCGCAAAUGUCAAUUUAAGCUUACGAGUGCACUGCUUCUACUAGUUCAUCAAAGGGACAAAAUAAAAAACAAACACCAACAAACCAACAUUUUCAAGAAUGAAAAAUUCAGCCAGGGAUGCUCCCCAUCGCAGGUGUUUAUCAUCAAAAAAGCAAGCACUUGUAGUCUGUUCAAUAGGUAAGAAUGGUGAAGCCUGAAGAGUGACUCUAUCGUUUUAGGAUAUGGCAGAAUUACAAAAUACGGGUUAAUGAAAAAAAAUGUAAGAAUAAGUAUACGAUGGUUUUUUAGAGCAUCACCUUUUGUAACUUUGGCUGCUCUAUUAUACUAAUUGUUUCAAAUCUCUAAUAAAUAUGCAAUCCAGUUUUAAAUCCGUUCAAACUUCAAAGGGCUUCAUAGCGUCAGCAAAUGCAAAGCUAAACAAACCAAACAAUUAAAAGAAAAACAGUACUCAGACAUUCAGGCCAGCUUACAAAAUUUAGAGCUAGUAAUGAUAUAUGUCUUCAGUAUUUAGGCCUAGACUGCACUGUGCAGGUCAUUGACGACAUUGUACCAACUAGGUGUGACAACCAGAAAUCGUACCCCCGUAUGUAUUGCAACAAUACUGCAGAAUCGAGGUACCAUAAUAAAGCUCUAACUAAAUGAGAUUUGUGAAUCGAAGUAAGCAAUGUGGUGAAGUGUGUCCAAGGGGCUGCUUACUCAAAAGGAUAUUAUAUUUUCCAGGCAUGGCGAAGUAAGUCUCCGGAGUGGAUCAGAGACAAGAUAAACCUGUUUCCACUGGUUGCAGACUACAAGACUGCGAGUAGACUCGACGCAGCAAUCUUGUGACUCAGUUGUGUAUGUCGUCAUGGUGACAAGUUCGCACGUAUGAUCCUUCCACAUCAGUUCGGGAAUUGAUGCUGCAGGGGGGUCAUGGCUGCAACAUCUAAACGAGCAGAAACCAGGGUUGUCCGCAGGUUUACUGAGAGAAACAAAUCUGCGGGUGCUUAGAAGCUCCUCCUCCUCCCCCUUGGCAUCAUCACGGCCGGUCGAUAUCGGGAACUCUAGGAUUGACAAGGAUGGUGCGCUGCUGCAGACUGUGAUCUUGUAAGCGGUGAUUCGUCGGGUGGCGCUCGACAAGCCGAGGACGAGAAGGGGGCCGUGAGGGAUGGCGCCGCCGAUGAAGGGCAGGUCCUUAUCAUCCAAUUUGGCCCAUCGAUUCUUCGCCACGUCGAACAUGUGUGUGCCCGUCUGCUGCUCAGUUAUCGACGGCCUGUGGAUGCUGAUCUUCUCGGUUAUCGAGACCAGAAUGUAGGAGCCGGCCACGGCUACAUGGGACUUGAUUGUGAACUCCCGCGGGAAGAGGUAUGACCUUGGUGUGAGGUCCCAGGGGAAGAAGGGCGGCCGCGGCAGCUCCUCCCAUUGGCAGCCCACGAGACGGCCAUCUUCUCCCACCUGUGCUUGGGAGAGAUCGAGCAGCUCGAACCAGGGCACGAAAUUGACAUCCCCUAUCACGGCGGGUGUCCUUGCCAGGGCGUAGAUCUUGUCGCCGAGCGGCAGCAGGACCGGGUAGAGCUUGGUGGACAGAGGCUUGGGUCCCGGGAUCACGGCGCCUGUGUUGGUGUCGAAGACGACAGUCUCCGGGGCGUAGUCCGGGGCACGGUUGCCGCCGACGCCGACGAUCCACGGGCCGUGAAUCGACCGCACGGGGACGAACGACAUGCAGUGCUUGGCUUCCAGGCGGGCGAGGUGGGGCGGAAUCGGUGUCGGGGUGCCGCCGGAGCCGGCAUCAGCAGCGAAGGGGUGAACCUUGAUCACGGAGUAGGCAGGGCUAGUGACUCCAUGGCCUACCACUAGGUACACUGACGGCGAAGGAGAAUCCUUUGAGGACGCCUUCUCCGGCUCCAGCUUCGGCUUCUUCCUCCGCCGCGACAUCUCCGCGCACCGCCGCCGCGCAAGUUUUUUUUAUGGGAAGGUUGGUGAUUGGUUUUUUUUUUUUAGAAUGGUUGGUGAUUGGUUUGGAUGAGUGGUUCGGCUCAUCCGGAAAAAAAAACUUUUUCCAGCCAAGUCUGGUGUUUAUGGGCCUGAGGGCUAUUCUUUGCCCUCCCCCCCUCAUCAUAUGGACGCUAGCUAGGGUUUUUUUUCCUGCUAUCUCGCCGCCAGCCUCCUUCCCCCCGCCCCCGGCCGUACUCAGAAACAGGAGGAGAGAUGCCGAUGCCGGAGAAGAAGAUGAAGAGGAAGAGUAGUUCGAGUACCGCACCUCGGCUCAUUCGCGUUCGCCCAGCUGGGAGCAAGAAGAAGAUGCCUUGUAGCGAGGCUGCGCAGCCGGUGUACCUAGUUUUGGAGCACUGCGGAGACUCCAAGCCCUACUACACCGUCAUUGAGGCCGCCGGCGGCGCCGCCUCCCACACCAUCCAGAACCUCAGCGACGGCAUGUCCUUCGCCGCGGUGGAGUCGGCGCGGCACGGGCCCCGGAUCGUCGGCGUCGGCCUGCGAAGCGCCACUGUCUACAACCCCAAAACCUCCAGGGAGAUCGCCGCCCCCUUCCUUCCGGACCGCAAGCUGAACCCCGUCCUGAUCGCGCACGGCAGCAAGCUCUACGCGCUCUCCCGCGUCCCCUCCGUCGUCAGGGGCAUCGACUUCGACCCCUGGUUCUUCGUCCUCGACCUCGACGACAGUUACGCCACCACCGGGACCGUCAGGGGCACCAGUUGGCUUAGCCUGCCGCCGCCUCAACCCGCUCGAGUACCGCGACCCGCCCGAGUACCGCGUCGCGUCCUACGCCGUCGUCGGCUCCCACAUCCUGCUCUCCGCCUCCGUGCACCAGCAACCAGAUAAACAGGGUACAUGCGCCUUUGAUGUGGACGCCAAGGAAUGGCACAUGGUGGAUGACAAGAACCUGCCUUUCGUCGGCCAGGCCGUGCCCCUCGGCGACCGCCGCUUCCUCCUCCGCCAAGGCGAAAGGCGGCGCUCCGACGGUGUACUACAUGGAGAUGCAGGUGGUCUUUUCACCAGGAAGAAGCUCAUGCUGUACCAUUAUAGAGUUGGCGGUGGUAUCUGAGGGCAUGGUGCCGGGGCAGCUCUUGUGCGCCAUGGGGAACGGCUGUUUCGUUUCUUUCGACGUUGAUGAUCCCGAAACAGAUGAUGACAAGCGGCGGUGGCGGGACAAAGCACGCAUUGUUCAUCGCAUCUACUCUCAGGUUCUCGACGCCGAGACCAAAUCGGUUGUCACAGCGUUGCAGCAGGAGCACGUUUACAAACUGCGUGAUCCAUACCAUCAUUUGGAUCCUCCUACUCGUGUGGUUGCUGCGGUAACUAUAUAAGCAUGGAGCAGAACCAUCUAAGGUUGUUACAGUAAAAAACAUAUGUGAUGAAGCAAGUUAAUUAGACAGUACUUUCACCGAGAUGUGCUGCAGCAAAAUGCACCGAGUUGUGGCCACCUUGGAUGGUAUCUUCUUGCAUGUAGGCCUUCCUUCGUCUAUCUGUAAGCAUGGUGGAUGUCUGCAUGCUAGUGGAGUGCCAUGUGUUUGCUCAGCGUCUUAACUAUGAAUUGUAUUGCCACCGCACUGCCCAUCUAUUGGGACCGCGACGAGCGAGGUCCAUGAACUGGGCGUUGCCGGCGCUAAACACGUAGUACAGCGGUAGGCAUUCAUAUGGGCCGGUGUAGAGCCUACAGGCCCAUCAUGCAGGCAGAAGAAAAAUGCCCAAUUGGUUACUUGUUUGCCGUUUCUCUGAAAUUCGAGACCUUGUUAAUUGUUAUGCGUUAAGCACUUGCACUUCAGAAGAGUGCACUAACUCAGGCAAGCUGAUGAGGCUAAAUGCUGAUGGGCUAAUUUUAUUGUAGAAAUUUUCUCGUGUUCCCGCUAAAGGAAAUAAUUUUCUCGGGUUUAGGGAUUAGUUUUCGCUUGAAGAAAUAGUUUUCUAAGCUUUCAGAAACUUUACUGAGGAAUAAUGAAAAGUCAUGAAGAAUAAUUAUCUGCCAGACAAAACAAAUUAUAACAAAAGAGUUGUCCAAGUUAUUUUUAUUUAAUUUUGUGAUGAUAUGCAAUCGUGAAAUAUGCAACCUGAGAGCAUCUCUAGCAGAUACCGUAUAUCACCCUGAUCUCUUAUUGUUUCGGCAAAAAAAUAAUAAGACUCAAGCAGAUCCCGUAAAAUCGACCGGCCCAUUUUCCUUCUGGAUCCCCCUAAAAUCACCUGCUGCCACACUAUAUGUCCAGUUCCCCCGCGAGAUUUUUGGGUAACCUGCAUCUCCUAAUUAAAACACGUUUUGCAGGGCUGCAAUUUCAACUCGUGCUCUUUCGAUUCCACACCUGCCUCGUCCUCGAAACGAGCCGCCACGGGCUGCUCCUCUGGCCAUUGCAUAACUGAGAAGAUUCUAGAAUACUUAUAGAUAUUUACAAGAAGCCUUCGAGCUCCCUAGAAGGCUUGAGAGGUUGCAUGAAUGUUGAGAUAUUUGUCAUGUAAGCUCCUAGAGCAAUUUCACCACGGUAAGAUAGAAAUAUUCUGGAAAUCUCUUGGUACAUGAAGAGUAGUGCUAUUUACCAUGAAAGACACUGGUAGAGCAAUAUUUUGAUGGAAAAAAUAAGAAAUAUUUACACUAGGAUAUUUUGGUAGAGUAUUCUAGAGAAUAAAUAGUUGUCAUAUGAUGUUUAAGAUGAUGACACUUUGAAAGGGCAUUUCUAUCCCAUUAUUUGUUAAUGAUAACAUGAUAGUGGACUAAUAGUGUGCUAAGUAUUUCAGAUUCGAUAUCAAAUGGCAGCUUGUAUCCCUAAAUUUUGAAAAUAAAAUUAAAAUUGUUAUACUCACCUAUUUACACACCCAUCUAGUCGACCAUAUCGAUCUUUCACACUUGUCAUGCAUUAAAUGAUAUUGUAAAGUAUAAAUAGAGGUGUUGCCUCAUCACAUGAUGAGUAUUGUACCAAAAAGGUGUACCAAGCAUAAGAUGUUAGCUAUCAUGAGUGAGUUUAAAGUUAUGUUAGUAACGUAGAUAGUAAAAUUAGUGUUGUGACAAAGUUGUGAUAACAAAUAAAGUCUUCAAUUCUUCUCUACUAAGUGUGAUUUUUCAAUUAUUUUAAUGUGAAGUGGUUAUUAGGUUCCUCUACAAAAUAUGUACAUAUACAAUGAAGGUAGGAAAACGCGUGGGGUUUAUAUGCACUCAAAUCCACCGAACUACUCACUCAAAUACUAACAUGUGUCUUCUAAUUUUGCAGAAUUUAGCAUAUAAACUUAUCCCACUAAAAAAAUCGAAUUCAGUCUAAUAAAGGCAUAAUCAAAAUAAAAGAAACGAUCGAGAAUUACCCCAAACUCUUUCUUGCUCUUUAAAGAAAUCAUGUAAAGAAACGCUUUUUUAUUUGCCUUUUUGGAAAUCCUAAUUCUGAAAAUCAUGGCUUUACUCACAGGCAUUAAAGUAAACUACUUUCCGCAUGUAAGUAUGAUAUAUUUCCACGCCUUAUGAUCAUUAUGAAAUCAUGGCUUUACUCACAUGCAUUAAAGUACCAAUAUAUGUCUUCUUCUCUUGUUGAAUCACAUAAAUGUGGAUGUCUUUUUUCAUUGUUGCAGAAUGCAAAGGGCUUAAUCCAAACUACAACAGAAGACAAUUGUUAGUAUUUAAUAACAAGUCAAAUCAAGUAAUACAAAUGAAAAUGGUCAGAAACAAACCUAAAAAACACAUAGUUUGGGCCUUCUUUUUGUAACGUAUAACAUAACUUAGUUUCUAGUGGGACUUUAAUUACUACAAAUUCAGAAGCUUUAUCAUGACAUAAUUUGCAACAGUUUAUAUAUGCUUAAGCUGAAAAAUACACGGAGCUCAUCGUGUAUAGGUUUAGCCCGCGACAAUUUGUCAUUUAUAGUCGUAACACAAAAAACCACAUCAUACUAACAAACUUAGAGAUAAUAAAGCAACCUAACUAAGAGACAAGCUACAACUAGAAAUGUUCAUGUAUUCUAUCAAUCGUAAGUUUUCUUACUCCAUCUAAACACUUGAUGCAAUUAUAGGAAAAUAACCGGAACAUGUUUCCCCAUAUCCAUUUUGAAUUACACUUGAUACUAAUAUAUGUAAGAUAUAUUAGUAAGCUAUAGCAAAAUGCCGUGUCAUGUCAAGUCACCAUUGAAAAUCGCAACUUAUAAUUUCUGUAUAAAAACAUCACAAUUAACCUAGCUAGUCAAGGGCUCAAGGCCGAGAGGUAGCAAAUGUCCCAUCUCAUAUUGGAGCUUGCGACUUUUGCAGCCAAGUCAAUCACGUACGUAUUCAGGUCCACGAUCGAUUGGAUGACAUUAGACCUUCCAACAACAGAUCAUAGACAUUAAUUAUACGCUUAUAGGCUACAUCAUCCCACGGCAGAGGGGGGAGACUGUGUUGCCCGAGCUAUAUAUCGUGAUACAUCUAUUUAGUUAAUCUUGUAGUUUUAUGUUAAUUUCUAUUUAUACAAUUAUCGUAGAAAGAAAGGUAUUAGCCAGAGUGUUCAAUAUUAAAAUUAUUUUUUUCUUCAAAAAGGAGGUACGACCCCAGCCUCUUGAGAGAGAGAGAGAGUGAAGUAAUUUUUGUGGACCACGCGAUAUGUGCAAUUUCGAAUGCAAUCUAAGCUAGAUACAAAACAAAAGAACUAGCUAGUUCAUGAAGCUUCUUGAAAGUAAUUUUCUGGAUCGGUGGUGCUAUUUGAUCGAUCAGUCUAGAUGUUUCAAGCAUCUAGUCUAGAACUAGCUAGAAUGAAAGGAAAUUAAGAUGGAGUUUUUUUGGUCAUCGAUCAAUGUCGAUCGCUCCGGCAACGCAACGCAAUGGAGUAGCUAAAGAGCUAGCUAGCAGGGAAAGCUAGGACGAUGCAAUCCUCAGCGUGUGGCUCGUGGGAGACAUUGGAUCUCGUCCACACAAUUUAACAUCACCCAUCGCUUUGCUUGCAUUUCUUGAACUAGCUUAGCUACGCACACAUGCAUGCAUUCAGCUUCACAUAUAUCUCUCUGCAAGCAUGGGUUAGAGCCUAUAAACACAUGAAUUAGGACUUAAUCAUGGACAUUCUCUAGAAUAGUCGGGCACGGUCUAGGCUAGUCCAGUCGUGUUGGACGCUAGCUAUAGCUCCAUGGCCGUCCUCUGUUAUCUCUACUGCUCAGUGCAGCUAUAAAAGAGCGAGAUCGAUCGACAGCCAGCAGCUGCAUUGGUAUCAUCAGCUCGAUCGAUCAGUAGUGUGAUCUCAGAGCUCCCAUCGCGAUCGAGCAGCUAAGCUUAUAAUUAUUAAGCUCAGCUGAGCAAGAGAACUAACUGUAGAAAUUAAGUAAGCACCAGCUGAAGCGACGAGAAAACGACAGUACGUACUGUACGAUAUGGCUGCUGCUUUCUCGUCCACCCUUGGAGCACCGGUACGUAAUUAAUCACUUUCUCAGUUCUAGAACAAGUGACGUGAAUUUGUAUAAAAAUCUAUGCAAAUCCACGUAUAUAAAUCCACGUCACUUAUUUUGAGACGGAAGGAGUACUAGAGUUGCCAAGAAGUAAGGUAUUAAUCCAGUGGAUAUAACGUUAUGCAUAUAUAUGCUUCAUCGUCAACUAGAGCUAGCUUACUAGCUGCACUGUCGGUCAGUUUUAAUUACUUGCUUGUCAACAUUAAUUAAUUCUCCGAAUGAAAUGACCAAAGUGAUAGUAUAGUAUUUUAUUUACACUAUCUUUAUCAUGUCUCAUGAGUACUAUAUAUUCUGCGUUUUGUGCUAACCAAUUCAAUCUAAUGAUCAUGCUAUCUUAUUUGGAAAUGUGUGCAUAGGAAUUACCUUGAUGGCCUUUUUCGGUCUGGCCAGGAUCACGGCUCAAUCCACGGGUUCUUCCGGCCGCAAAUCCCGGAUGUACCAAAAUGGGCGUUUAGUUUUGGACUUUAAGGGCUUUUCCUGUACUAAUCUUGUCCUACCCUAGCCGAACCACAAGAAAAAAAAAUCAUGAAUCUCAACCACGUAAGGGCUUGUUUGGUUUGAGGGGGAUUGACAUGGAUCGGAACCAUGCCAUUCCAUGUUGUAACCAAACAAGGUCUAAAAGGGAUUGUGACCAAAUAAGGUCUAAAAGAACUUGACCCAAGGAGGUGGGAUCGUAUAUCCACAUAUUUAACUAAAUAGGUUUGAGCUUUUGUAGUAUUAUACUCCAUCCAUCGACUUGUAGUGGACAUGCAAAUAUUUUGAAAUUUAAAUUUCGCCAGUAAUUUGACCAAUAAUAUAUGUAAUUUGUAUUUCACAAAAUUAGAGCUACAUAUUAGUGAAAAACUUAACGGUGUAAUGUUUAUGCUGCAUAACCUACAUAUUGUUGGUGUAAUUGAUAAAUUUGAAAUACAUGGUCGUCCAAAGGAUGGAGUAGGACGUAUGACUGAGGAGAGCCAUUGGACCAACCAAUCAUUUUUAAGACGUCUCCAAAACCAAAUGAUGAUUAUAUGCUAAUUCCCUCAUAUAAAUUGCAUAUUAUCUGACCUAUUUUUUUAUAGCAAAAACAGUGUUACUAAUUUUAGUCUCCCGUUUGUUUUGUAUAAAAAGAGGGACCGGCGACAGUUGGAUGCUGCUUGAAAUGCUUACAUUGAUGAGUUAGGUCCACAUUGGUACCAAAUGCUGCCUUAGAAUAUGGGGAAAAAGUUUAAUUGUCGCAAAAUUUGCUUUCUAGUAGUAGGAUUUAUAUUAACGUCAGGUACGCAAUGAAGAACCAACUGUACUAAAUUAUAAUGUGCAUACAUAGAUAAUAUUUCUCUUAGUGUAACUAUCCAUCGACUGUGUGAUAAAAUAAUCAAUAAUGUGCACACACACAUAUGCAGGUAUCGACCCCAAGCAGCUUCCUUGGGAAGAAGCUGAAGAAGCAGAGCAACAACUGCUUCUCCAACAAUGGCGGCAGCAGCAAGACCAUCAAGAGCAGCAGGCCGUCGCUGGUCAGGGUCAUGGCGGCGGCGAAUAAGGACGUCGACGAAGGGAAGCAGACGGACGGCGACCGGUGGAGGGGGCUCGCCUACGACAUCUCCGACGACCAGCAGGACAUCACCCGUGGCAAAGGCAUCGUGGACGCCCUCUUCCAGGCCCCCAUGGGCGACGGCACCCACGAGGCCGUCCUCAGCUCCUACGAGUACAUCAGCCAGGGCCUCCGGCAGUACGACUUCGACAACACCAUGGACGGGCUCUACAUCGCCCCGGCUUUCAUGGACAAGCUCGUCGUGCACCUGGCCAAGAACUUCAUGACCCUGCCCAACAUCAAGGUCCCUCUGAUUCUGGGCAUCUGGGGUGGCAAGGGGCAGGGGAAAUCGUUCCAAUGUGAGCUUGUGUUUGCAAAGAUGGGGAUCAACCCGAUCAUGAUGAGUGCUGGGGAGCUCGAGAGCGGCAAUGCCGGUGAGCCGGCGAAGCUGAUCCGGCAGCGGUACCGGGAGGCGGCGGACAUUAUCAAGAAGGGCAAGAUGUGCUGUCUAUUCAUCAAUGAUCUCGAUGCCGGGGCCGGGAGGAUGGGUGGAACCACGCAGUACACGGUGAACAACCAGAUGGUGAACGCUACGCUGAUGAACAUCGCUGACGCGCCGACCAAUGUGCAACUUCCAGGGAUGUACAACAAGGAGGAGAACCCCCGGGUGCCGAUCAUAGUCACCGGCAACGACUUCUCCACCCUCUACGCGCCGCUCAUCCGAGACGGGCGCAUGGAGAAGUUCUACUGGGCGCCGACCCGCGAGGACCGCAUUGGCGUGUGCAAGGGCAUUUUCCGCACCGAUGGCGUCCCCGACGAGGCGGUGGUUAGGCUCGUCGACAUGUUCCCGGGGCAGAGCAUCGACUUCUUCGGCGCGCUGCGUGCCAGGGUUUACGAUGACGAGGUGCGGAAAUGGGUCGGGGAAAUCGGUGUGGAGAACAUUUCCAAGAGGCUGGUGAACUCGAAGGAGGGCCCGCCCAAGUUCGAGCAGCCGAAGAUGACAAUCAGUAAGCUCAUGGAGUAUGGGCACAUGCUUGUCCAGGAGCAGGAGAACGUGAAGAGGGUGCAGCUUGCAGACAAGUACCUCAGUGAGGCUGCACUGGGUGAAGCCAACGACGACGCCAUGAAGACCGGGUCCUUCUACGCCAAGGCCACUUGAUUCUAGUAAUUAAGAAUGCCGUCACUAUAUAUGCAUGUUUGGAAAAUUCCGUACCUUUUUUGAUUCAUCGCCGCACAGGUAAACGAUUUGAAUUGUAAGUUUCUGAAUACAAAGAAAUGGAAUUGUAUAUGUGAAUUACUUGUUGGAACAUUAUCAUAUAUCUGGAAAUCCUCUGAGGCUUUCUUGAUUAGGUACCGUGGGGGUCAUAUAAUUGGACAGAGAUUGUGAUGCAAACGGCUGGAUUAUUGUUUCAAGAAGAAAGAUCAAUGGUCUAUACUAAACCCAAAAAUCAAUUAAUGAGACUUCCAGGGAAAUUGAUCUUGGCAGCUCAUACAUCAAAGCAUUGCAGAAAUGACAUGCUUAGCUGUUUUUUCUCAAAAAAGUACAGACAUGGCUACCUUAAUUUUAUCUUUUCCAUACUGAUGUUUUACCAAAGAUGCAAUGUAUGGAUGUCAUGCAAGUUCUUUUAUUUUUGCGGUAAUAAUGCGAAGUAUGAAGCACAAACGUACAACACCCAUGUGCCUUGAUGUCAACAGGGGCCGACUUAACUUGUGUGGUACCAAUUGACAGCCCUAGCUUGAUGGUUAUCAACAAACCAGCAAAUAUAAGCCAGCAACAUAUUUUGUGGUACUCGAACUAGGAUCCAAUCUCGGGUGCCUCAUCCAACAAGCAACAUAAGAGUUCAUUUUUGUGUGGUUAUGGAAUAGAAGACCCCAGCUUUCGGCUAGCUGAUGAUCAACAAGACACACUAUCUAUACACCGUGAGUCCGGGUGAAAAGAAACAAAAAUGAAAGGCAAGGAAAGAAGAAAGGAUUCUGAUCAGAGAAUGGCUAGAUCCUGUGGCUGUGGAAUGUUAUAGGAUUCGAGCCAGGAGAUAUCAUAUAGCUGAGCUGCAAGCUGCAGCGUUUGGUCUUCACAGUCCAAGUCAUCCAAACCAGCGGGGGCCAAGAUGCACCCGGCCAGAACCCAAUCUCCAGUGUGUGGCCUGUGGGGGAUCAAGAAGCUGAUCCACAAGCACGGGUGUGUGUGUGCCACCUCCCAGCAGCCUCCCACAGCAACAAGAUGGAUAUCCACGUGUAUUUAAGGCAUCUCAUACCUCUGCCUCUAUACUUUGAGCAGCAGCAGCCAUUACUUGAUCAUCUGAAAAAUCUUAAUCCAGAUCAGACCAAGCAGAGCAGAGAUGUCUGCUACCUUCUCGUCCACCGUCGGAGCUCCGGUGCGUACCACACAUCGAUUCAUCGGUCCACAGCUAUCUUUUCUUAAUGGUAUCAUGUCUUCAAUGGCGUCUUGUGUUGUGUCUACAGGCUUCUACGCCAACCAGCUUCCUUGGGAAGAAGCUCAAGAAGCAGGUGACCUCGGCCGUGAACUACCAUGGCAAGAGCACCAAGGCCAACAGAUUCACAGUCAUGGCCAAGGAGGUGGACGAGUCAAAGCAGACUGACCAGGACAGGUGGAAGGGCCUCGCCUACGAUAUCUCCGACGACCAGCAGGACAUCACCAGGGGGAAGGGUAUCGUCGACUCGCUCUUCCAGGCGCCCAUGGGCGACGGUACCCACGUGGCCGUCCUCAGCUCCCAAGAGUACAUCAGCCAGGGCCUAAGGAAGUACGACUUCGACAACACCAUGGGAGGCUUCUACAUCGCCCCAGCCUUCAUGGACAAGCUCGUCGUCCACCUCUCCAAGAACUUCAUGACCCUGCCCAACAUCAAGGUACGCAGCCAGCACAUGAUCAAUUCAUGACUAUUUAAUUUAAUUUAUUAGCAGUAAUACAAUUGAACAAAGCUGUUUGUGAAGCUUUACUGUAAUUUGGGUGCUAACGAAUCGAAAAUUCAGGUGCCACUCAUCUUGGGUAUCUGGGGAGGCAAGGGUCAAGGAAAAUCCUUCCAAUGUGAGCUUGUCUUCGCCAAGAUGGGCAUCAAGUAAGAACUGUUUGAAGUUACUUUCAUCUAUUGUUAAUUGCCAGCAACACAAAUAUCAUGUCUGCACCCGAAUUAAGCAAGUAGUAACAGAUGAUGAUGUGUGCUUGCUACAGCCCAAUCAUGAUGAGUGCCGGAGAGCUGGAGAGCGGAAACGCCGGAGAGCCAGCCAAGCUGAUCAGGCAGCGGUACCGUGAGGCCGCAGACUUGAUCAAGAAGGGUAAGAUGUGCUGCCUCUUCAUCAACGAUCUCGACGCUGGUGCGGGUCGGAUGGGCGGGACCACCCAGUACACUGUCAACAACCAGAUGGUUAACGCCACCCUGAUGAACAUCGCGGAUGCCCCCACCAACGUGCAGCUCCCUGGGAUGUACAACAAGGAGGAAAACCCCCGUGUGCCCAUCAUCGUCACUGGUAACGAUUUCUCCACGCUCUACGCGCCACUCAUCCGUGACGGUCGUAUGGAGAAGUUCUACUGGGCCCCCACCCGCGAAGACCGUAUCGGUGUAUGCAGGGGUAUCUUCCAAA
rnacentral:lncRNA from 1 species